AAUGAUAACCUAUGAGUAUUUGCACAAUUUAAAUACUUAUAACUAUAUCAACUCAAUAAGAUUCAUAUACAUAACAUCAUCUACCACUUAGGCAUUAUACAUACCUGAAGCUUCUCGUACUUAUUCACUUUUGUACUUACCUCAUGUUGAAUGUUAUAAGACUUUCCAUAAGUUAUUUUUAUUUUAUACAUCAGCACACUUAAUGCUAUAAGGUUAGCCGAAGCUAAAUAUUUCUGCACACUUAGUGUCAUCUCAAAUAACCGAGACUAAGUCAGUAUCGCACACUUAGUGCCCAAGCUAGUUUAAAUCGCACACUCAGUGCCAAAACUUCCGUUUGAUCACCAUAUUAUCCAAUUCAAUUAUAUACUACCUAUGUAUAAUAAAGACAUCAAAACAUACUUAACAUCAUAUUUUAGGUACGAACUUACCUCGUAUUUGAAAUUUGUCGACUCGGACUAUCUACUCGAUAACUUUGACUUUCCUCAAUCUAAGUCCAAAUUCCUCCUUUCUUGAUCCAAAUUAAGCUUCCAAUGUGCCGAAACCUAAAAGCCAUUAUUCUUUCUUUUUGUUCUUCAAUUUCGGUGGAUGAACACAUAUAUAACAUGACUUUCUAAUUUGUUUUCAUAUAAAUUACUUUAGUAAACAUUUUCCCAUUUUGCCCUUUUAUAAACAAUUAUAAAUUCACCUAAUACAUGCCCUUAUAAGUCCAUUCAAACUUUCAAUGGCCAAAUAACCACAUAAGGACCUUACUCUAGAAAGCCAACUCAAAUAAGCAUUUAAACAUUUAGCACACAGCUUUUAUAUUUUAUGCGAUUAGGUCCUUUUUACAAAUUAAGCACACAAAUAGUUAAGUUUUUACACGAGACUUCCACACAUGUCAAUUUACUUACCAAAUACAUGAAAAUUAAUUAAAAUAUUUUUUUCUAACUCAGAUUUGUGGUCCCAAAACCACUAUUUCGACUAGGGUUAAAAUCGAGCUGUUACAGCCUCCUCAACAACAAAUGACCAGCAUGCAUCGGCACCACAUCACACACAACCUCAUCACUAUACUUGCCAAUAAAAAAGGCAACAAUGGCUUGCUUGGUGACUUCGAGUUCUCCUCUGAUAUGGACACACCUCCCGAGUUAUCUGCUGCUAAUGUAGAUCCUCUCGAGUUACCCGUAGGACUGAUCACCCGAGCUCGAGCAAAGAGAUUCAAAGACGCAACAAUAGCCUUAGUUGAUAGAGUUUGGGGUGAAACCGUUGCUGGACUUCUUGAAAGCUCUUGGACCAGAAAGCCAAGCAAACCAUGCAUACUCCUUCAAGCUCAAAUCAGCUCAACUUCAACUUAACUUAGCUCAACGAGCUCGUUUCAGCUCAUUUCAUUAUUGCGUUUAUUAUGCUGGAAUAAAUCAUUUAAGUUGCUGUUAGUUAAAUUAGUUAUUUAGUUUAAUAAUUAAUUUGUCAUAAUCUGGACAUGCUUUAAUUAUGUUCUAAAUUAAGUACAUAAUUAAUUAUGACCAAUUAAAUAUGUCUUAACUAUUACAAAGAUUAAUUAUGUCCAGCCUAAUUUAUGGUGCAGGAUUUAUUUGUUUUAUGUUGCCAAAUUUAAUGUGUCUAAAAGGGAUUUAAUUUGCUGAUUUAAUUGUUGUAGGUACAUUACCCCUUGGACGGCAUAGGUGCAUGGAUGAUUUAAAGAUGGUGUGCUGAUCUUUGGUGUCCCCUAAGUGACCAUUCGGCCAACCCUUACAACUCUUCAAGAAGACCGAUUGGCUGCCCAAGAUAAAUUAAGGCUGUUCACACCCACCCGAUUAUUCCUUUCACACCAAGGGCUGUUCGGUUUUGUUUGUUCAUACAUGUGUGGCUGUUCAAAUCAAUUUGUUCACAUUCUAAGACUAUUAAAGUGCUCUAGACAGCUCCUUAAUCACAUGAACAUUCGGCUGAACCAAGCAGCAGCAUUAAAUCAAAUUCAAGCACUUGGCUGAACCUAUUGAUUGCAUUUUAGCUCCCAAACAACCCAUUCAAUUUUCCUAUUGAAUCAAGGCAUCUAGAAGCUGCCCCUUGCCUUUCUCUAUGCACAAAAAACUUUAAGGAAGCUUCAUCAGAAAUUCUAUAAUUUUCAGCUAACCAUUUAGCUACCUCAAGAGCCUAUUCGGCUAUCCCUUGUAUUCACUAUAAAUUUUGGCUUGUGUUACUUUGUAGAAGACUUUUUCCAAAUUUAUAGUCGAACCUUUGUUUUUUUUAGAAUUUUCUUCUCUAAGUCUCAUUUAAGAUUUUGUUGGCUUAUCUACCUAGUAGUGGCGUCAACCUAUUUCUUUUACGAAACCGAACUUAUCACUAGUUUUAGUGUGGCAUUCAAAACCCUUUAUACCGAGGUUCCUCUCUGCCUAGAUAGUGGAUCGAGGUCCAUUUUGUUUCAACCAUCCCUUCUUAAGAACUCAUAAGUCUCGGGUCGAUAUUUGCUAAUAUCGGUUCAACUUGUUCUUAGGACCAACCUUACCAUACUUUCGUCCAUUUCCCAAAUAUUCCAUUCAACCAUAUUUCAUUCCUUUUUUUUUCGAACCAAAACCAAGUUACCAAUAAUGAUACGAUCACGGCUUCCCAUAAGUCAAGUCCAAGCCGAGAUCCGAUGGUGCUACCUCAAGGGCCGAUCACAAGGGCUCGUGCAAAACAAUUUAAAGAAGCCGUUAUAGCUUUAGUUCAGCAUGUGUGGGAUGAUGUCAAUGCUAGACCUAUCGAACCAGUUAGUGGCCAUUUUGGAAAUCCAUGCCGAACUUUUCUACAAGUUCAGUUUAGCUCACCGAGCUCACCUUCAGUUCAAGUUAGCUCCCAUGUAGCUCCACACCAGCUCAUUAGCUCGGGACCAACUCAUUAUCAGCUCACGAGUUUAAGCCCAACUCGAGUUUAACUCAUGAAUUAACCAUCAGCUCAUGGAGUUCACUUUGAAUUCAUUUGACUACUAUUGACUUUUUAAUUAAUAAGUUCAAUAAUUAGUUAAUUAAUAUCCUACAUAUUAAAUUUAGUUCACAUUAGUUAUAUUAAGUAUGUCUUAAAAGUGUUUAUUAUGAUAAUUAAAUUUGUCAUAACCGAAUUUAAUGUUGAUAUUUGUGUUCACAUUAGUUUGAAUUAAUUAUGUUCACAUUUCUUGUAGGAACGCAAUGGACAUAUGGAGAUUAAAAGCAAGCAUGAAUUUUGAAGGUGCAUGGACGGUUGGGGGGCGGCCAAGUGCAUGUAUGACCAUAUUCAAUGUCUUUAAGGUUCAUGAAUGUUUCCAUUCAUGUAUGGUGUGCUAUCUCUUCAUUCUCCAAGGUGACCAUUCGGCCAAAGGGCACUCACACAUGCAUGAAGAUAGCUUGGCCAAUUAGCUUCCCCAUGACUCUCCUUAAUUCGUUCACACCUAUGUUCACAUGGCAAGACCAUUCAGUUCACCUUGUUCACACUAGAAGACUCUUCAACAUUCGGUUUCACACACAUGAUGGCCCUUGGAGUGUCCACAAUUAAUUCAUGCUUUUUGGCCAAACAUUGCUUCAUUUAACAAGGUUGGCCGAAUCUACAAGUGACCCUUGGAUAUCAUGCAUUCACUUUGAGUUUUCUUAAGCAUGAAGAUGCAUUCAUCAACCAUUCCCAAAACUGAAUCUGGUCAUGCAUAUUAAGAGUUAUUUUUCUAGAAUUUUCUUUAAUUAAUGUGUAAGCAUGAAAGGCCAAUCGGCUACCUAGACUUAGGCCUAUAAAUACUUGUUCAAUUUCCAUGUAAAAGACUUUUGAAACUUUUGUUAAUGUUAUGCUGCCGAAAUUGUGAGGCAUACUUUUCUUAUAUUUCGUUCAAAGAUUCGUUUGGCGUUCCUAGCGUUCUAGUUGUGUCAACCGUGUUCUUUGUCGUACCCGAACUUAUCACUAUUCGUAGUGUGGCGUUCAACAUACCGAGGUUCCUAUCUUGUUAGAUAGUGGGUCGAGGUUUCCCUUACCAAACCUAUAACCGAACUCAAAAGGCUAAAUCAACGGGUCGAUACCAUUUCGGUAUUUGGUUCUUGAAAGUACCUUUAGUAGUUCAAACCCGUUCUUUCUUCUUUACCUAAUCGAACCUAAAUCGACCAAUUUGUUCAUACCAUUUUGUUCCUACCCUUUCGUUCCUACCAUUCCAUUCGUACCCCUCUUUCUACUCUGACUAUACCUUCAACUCAACUAAUCCUAACGUAACUUCUCGUAGACGAUCGGGCAAUCUAUAUACAACUCAACCCUUCUCGAGACGGUUCGUAUCAAAUAACCUAACUCCUUUUCUUUCUAAACUUAAGAUUAAUUAACCAUCUUUGAACCCAAUUUAAACAACCAAAUUAACUUCAAUCCAAAUUUUCUAUUUCCUUCUAUUUCCGUCGACACUUUCUUGUAGACGAUCGGGCAUCUAUCAUACGACUCAAUUCAAGCUGAGUGAGCUCGUAUCAUUUGGUAUCAAAGCUACCUAAAAUGAGAAGUUUGAAAGUUCGGAGCACCUCUGGAGUAGGUUCGUAAAAAAAAGAGUAAAAAAAGAAAAAAAUUUUACUUCGUGAAAUUCAAGUAUUAUAUUGUAAUUAUCAUUUUAGUACUUUAUUAAAUAUAUAUAUAUAAAUUUACUUCGUGAAAUUCAAGUAUUAUAUUGUAAUUAUCAUUUUAGUAGUUAUAAAAAAAGUAUAUUAUAAAAAAAAUUUGAAAAAAAUUUGAAAAAAAAUUCAAAAAAAAUAGAGGUAAUUUAUGCAAUUCGAUUGUUAUUUGAACGUCAAGCCUUGAUUUGAUAUAGUUCCCGAUCCACCUUCUAUUCUAAUCUCUCUAAUCAUAUACACGCCACACUUUUAACCCAAUUCCCUAUUCUUUCAGCCCACCCUAAACCUAUACGCAUAUCCAUUGUUUACCCCAUUUGAAAUCAACUCUCAGACUAGAAGAUCAAGCCUAGUAAAAUCCUUUACGAGGUUAUAAGAGAAGAAAGGAGUGGAAAAAGGCACAAGUGAGUGAGCGCAUUCAAGGGGACGUAAAAGCCAAACGAGCGUAAACACGAGUGUGAGUGCCAUCAUUCUUUCUUUCUGAAAGAUCUUGUGAGGUUUGUGGUGAGGUUACAACAUGUCGUGAAGUUCGGAACGUAACAUGAAUGAAGGACUACCUAGACAACCUUUAAGGAACGUGGCUCCCGGAGGCGGAGAAGUCCCUGAUUUAGGCCAGCAAGCCCUCCUAAGGGAAAUCCAAAAUAUGUUCAGCAAUGAAUUCGAGUCCAUAAAUGAAAGACUAGACCGAGUUGAAGAGAGGGGGCGACCAGAAAGAACACCUCAAGGCCCUAGACGUGAAAGAGGCCGAGCAAGGCCAUUCGAAGAUGAGAUGUAUGACCCAAGUGAUUUAGAAAGCGACCAAGGUUCAAACCAAAGUGAACGACGCUGAGGUUAGUGGAAUCGGGGUCAAAGGGAUCGAGGCCGAGUUGAUGAUGAUUUGAAGAACAUUAAGCUCUCCAUACCACCCUUCCAAGGCAAGUCUGAUCCGGAGGCGUACUUGGAGUGGGAAAAGAAAAUAGAAUUGGUGUUCGACUGCCAUAACUACUCGGAGGCCAAGAAAGUCAAGUUGGCGGCAAUCGAAUUCUCCGACUACGCCAUGGUGUGGUGGGACCAAUUGACAACAAGUCGAAGACGAAACGGAGAGAGACCAAUCUCAACAUGGCAAGAGAUGAAGGUGGUGAUGAGAAAAAGAUUUAUCCUGUCUUAUUCCAUCGAGAAUAAUACCAAAAGUUGCAAAACCUUACGCAAGGCCACCGAAGCGUGGAGGAUUAUUUUAAAGAGAUGGAAGUAGCAAUGAUUCGUGCGAACGUGGAAGAAGACCGCGAGGCAACCAUGGCUAGGUUCUUAGCCGGGCUAAAUUGAGAGAUUGCUAAUGUGGUAGAGCUUCAGCACUAUGUCGAGGUGACUGACAUGGUUCAUGUUGUGAUUAAAGUUGAAAAACAACUCAAGAAUAAAAGUUCCAUUCGGACCUAUGCCAACCCUGCAAAAAACUCAAAGUGGGGACAAGGUACGAGCAAAAAGGACUUCCCUAAUCACCCGAAGGAACAAAACCAUCAUGCAAAGUUUAACAAACCCAUUGGUGAAUCAAGCAAAGGCAAAGAAGUUUCCAAUCCAAAUCACACGAGGGACAUCAAGUGCUUUAAGUGCUUGGGAAAAGGGCAUAGCGCUAGUCAAUGCCCUAACCGAAGAACAAUGGUGAUGAGUCUAGCGGUGAAAUCGAGUCGAAAGAUGAGAAAGAAGAAGAAUCUGACACCCCUGUCAAUGAUAAAGAAGGCGAUCUUGAAUAUGUCGUCGAAGGUGAAAUCCUUGUAAUCAAACGUAGCCUAAGUUUACAAAGUGCGGAGAAUGAACAACAACUCGAGAAUAUCUUCCAUACGCGCUGUCUCGUGCAAGGCAAGGUAUGUAGCCUUAUUGUGGAUGGCGGGAGUUGUACCAAUGUCGCUAGUACGUUAAUGGUAGAGAAACUUGGCUUGGCCACAACGAAGCACCCUUGUCCGUAUAAGCUUCAAUGGCUUAAUGAUGGUGGAAAGUUGAAGGUGACAAAACAAGUAUUGGUGUCGUUUUCCAUCAGAAAAUACAAUGAUGAAGUUCUCUGCGACGUGGUUCCCAUGCAUGCCGGGCACCUUUUGCUAGGUCGUCCAUGGCAAUUUGAUCGAAAGGUGGUACAUGAUGGCUACACCAACCGAUACACCUUCAAGCAUUUAGGCAAGAACAUCACUUUAGCACCUUUGACACCGAGACAAGUAUACGAAGAUCAAGUGAAAUUGCGUGGUUCAAUUGAAAAAAUUAAAGAGAAUGGAAAGAAAGAAAAGAGUGAAAAGGUGUGUGAAAAAGUGAGUGAAAAUAAAUGAGGGAAACAAGUUGUAAAAAUGAGAGAAAAGAAUAAAGAUCAAGAAAAACAAAAGAGUGAAGAAAAAAUGAGUGCAAAAAUGAGUGUUUAUGCAAAAGGGAGUGACAUUCGAAAAUCCUUCAUGUUGAGGCAGCCUAUACUUGUACUCAUGUACAAGGAAUCAUAUUUGAAUACUAAUGAAUUAGAUGCUGCUUUUGAUGUGAUCCGGCUCGGGAUGAUGAGUCGAAUUCACUCAGUUGCCCGAUCGUCAUUUGAGAGAGUCGUUCGUGCUUCGGGUUUUAGAACUAGAAGUGAAUGAAAAGAUACGGGUAAGCGGAAGGUUUCAAAGUAGGGUGAAUUUAGUAAUAGAUUCGAUUUAGUACCAAAGAUGGAUGAUGGUUAAAUGGCUCGGUUUGGAAUAAUAAGAAAAUAAUUUGAAGGAUGGGAAUGGAAAACGAACUUAACGUCAGGAAUGAUUCAACAUUAAGAAGUGUCACCCUGGUUCCUAUAUUGUUAAGGUGAAAAGAUGGAUAGAUGGAUAGGUGAACGCCACACCAAGAUUGGUGAUAAGUUCAAACAAGACGAUUGACGCCAUUAGCACAAGCCAGAUAAGUCUUUCGAAACUUGUACGAGAUAUGAGAGGAAGCAACCUCACAAGAACAAAUGUUCAUUAACAAAUUUGGCAAAAGUCCUUUACAAAUGAAAUCAACAAACUAUUUAUACUAAUUUCUUAUGCUAACUGAAUAGUCCAUUCAUGAACUUAACGAUUAAGUAAUGAACCUAAUUAAGACAUGAACCUUCUAGAAAAAUGACCAAUGGUGUCCUUGUCCAUGUUCGGCCGAAUGGGAGAUGAAUGGGCAGCUUCAUGUAUGAGCAAGCUUUGGAAACCAAUGGGAUUGUCUAGGUUCGGCCAUGGGAUGCAUGAAACUCCCAAAGGGUGUCUCUUGGCCGAAUAGGUGCUUAGGAAACUCCAAGGGUCCUCCCUCAUGCAUCGGUUGUACAUGGAACUUGGAAGGGGCCUUGAACCUAGCCGUACAUGCACUUGCAUUGAUUACCCCCAUUCAUGCAUGUGUGCCGUCCAAGGGAGAUGCACCUUUCAAUAUGCAUUAACCUUCCAUGUACAUGAAUGUAUGUCCUCCAAACAUUGAACCGGUCCAUGCAUGUAUCCUCCCGUUCAAUGAACUUUCCCGUUCAUGCACCUUGCAUUAAAUGCCAUGAAUGUGUCUUCCAAAUUCGGCUAACUUAAUUUAUUGAAAUGAAAAAGGAAUGAGCUGAAACGAGCUAAAUUCGAGCUCAAACGAGUUAAAAUGAGCUCAAGUGAGCUGAUGGGAACUGAAUGGCGCAUGGGGGAGCUGAAGAGGAACUAAGGUUGGAUUGCAAAAUGGUGCAUGGAGUCUUCAAGGAGUUAUUCUUAGCUCCUCCAACGUUAUAGAGCUGGUUAUCAUCCCAAAUGCGCAUCACAAAGGCUGAUAUAGCAUCUUGAAGUUGCUUGGUUUGAGCUCGGGUCAUGGGACCUUUUGGCAGCUCAAUAGAUCCUUGGUGUGCAUUCGAGGAUGCCCCGGGUGUGCUCACAUCAACUUUACCUUCUUCUGUUGUCUCUCUCUUGUAGGAAUUUGAAGAUGUAUUUCCUAAAGAAGUUCCGAGUGGCUUACCACCUAUUCGGGGAAUAGAACAUCAAAUCGACUUCAUUCCUAGAGCGUCUAUACCAAACCGAUCGGCUUAUCGUAGUAAUCCCGAGGAGACCAAGGAGCUGCAAAAACAAGUGAAUGAACUCCUUGAAAAGGGAUUCAUCCGCAAGAGCCUUAGUCCAUGCGCUGUACCGGUUUUGUUGGUGCCGAAAAAGGAUGGGACUUGGCGCAUGUGAGUUGACUGUCGCGCCGUGAACAAAAUCACGAUUAAGUAUCAUCAUCCAAUACCGCGCCUAGAUGAUAUUGUAACAACCUCACGCCCGAGACCAUCGCCAGAGUCGAGCUUGAGUUGUUACUAAACUUAAUUUAUCAUUUAAAGAAUUUUAAAUCAAUUGUUCCAACUUUCGUAAUAAACUGUCAAUCUGCGACACAGUAGCUUAAAAAUUCAUAUCUCGAGUUCCAAAACUCAAAAUUAAGAUCUAUAAAUUUUUCCUGAAACUAGACUCAUAUAUCUAUCUACUAAUAUUUUUCUAGAAUUUUUGGUUGGGCCAAUUAGUACAGUUUAUUAGUUAAAGUUUACCCUAUUUCAGCAUUUGACUGCUUUGACCUUUGUUCACUACGAACCACUUUUCUCUUUGUACAGAACUCAAAAGACUAUUCUGUUUAUUUCUCUUAAGACUAGACUCAAUAAGGAAUCUUUACAUAUAAAUCAUGACUUCUAAUUAUAUUUUUAAAAUUUUUAGUGAAUUUCUAAAGUCAUAAUAGGGGAUUUAGAAAUCGUUCUAGCCCUAUUUCACAAAAAUUUAAAUAUCUUAUAAAAUAUAACUCAUUUACCUAUUUCAUUUCCUUCAUAUGAAAAUAGACUCAUCAAGAUUUGAUUCCAUAACUUAUUCAUCAUUUAAUUCUAUUUAUACUAUUUUUAGUGAUUUUUCAAAUUUACAUCACUGCUGCGGCAAUAUUCUGUUUUAUAACAAAUUUUACUUUACUAUAGAUUUUCAUGGACUAAAUAGCAUUUUAAAUAUACAUGACAUCAAAUAUGAUUUAGAUUGGCCAUUCCAAUGGCUAAUCAUUUACAAACCCUUUUCUUUUCAAACCAUAACCAUAUUAUAAGAUCAUUUACACAAAGUGAGUAUAGUGCUAUACAUGCCACACUCAAAAUAUACAAGCCAUUUUACCAAUUUAGGGCUUCGGAUAGUGUGAAGGAGCCUUCGACCUAUCCCGAUUCUCAAGCCGGCUUGUCAAAACUAUAAUGAAUGAAAAGGAGGGAGUAAGCAUAAAUGCUUAGUAAGUUCACAUGCAAAUAACAAGUAACAUAAUCAUGCAAUCCAACAUAAACAUCAUUAAGACACUCAUGUCAUAAGAAUACUUACUAUCUUACCACAAUUUUGUCUUACCAAAUUCUCAACCAAGGAUUAAACUCAUACCUGUUCAUUUUCACUUCUUCAACACGUUCCUCAUCGAAUCACUUUCGUUUUAAGUACUCUCUCUAUUCUCUUAUGAUUCUCCCGUUGAACACAUUGGAAUAUAAUUUUGGAUACGCAGAUAGUGUGCACGUAAGUGCUAUACUCAUAGCUAAACAAGCUCAAUAGCUUUUGAAAUCUAUGUAGUCAAGCUACCAUGUAAGCCGCCCAUAAACGAACUCGGACUCAACUCAACGAGCUCGGGUGUUCGCAUCCAUAAGUGAACUCGGACUCAACUCAACGAGUUCGGAACUCAACCAUCCUAGUGACAUGUCACUUGUACCCUAAUCUAUUCUCAAGGUUCAAACGGGAUUCUUCUCAAUUACACAUUUUGAUCGCCUUCUUCGAAAUAUAGAAACCGAUAUUUGCUAGCAUCUCAUACUUAUCAAGUUGUUCAUAUAAUUUUCAUAUUAUCAAACAAUAAUUCACAAAGCAUAAUAUUUCAUGGUAAUAAAUAUCAUAUCAUAUAAAUAACAUUAAAUAACUUAAAAUAAAAAUUAUGUUACUUUAUUUACACAUGAACUUACCUCGAUACAAAAUUUUAGCAAUCGAGCCUAUUCCUCGUAAACUUUGUUUUUCCAUCGAUCAUGACUUGAAUCUUGUUUCUCUUGAUCUAUAAUACCAAAUUAAUUUAUUUAAUACAUACAUUCAUCAAAACAGCCCCUAGUAUGAACUUUGGCAAAAUUACCAUUUUACCCCUAAACUUUCACAUAUUUACACUUUUACCCCAAGGCUCGUAAAUUAAACCUCAUCCUAUUUUCUUAUGUUUUAUGACAUGCUGAUCAUUUUUGAUGCGAGUGCGCCCAGCGAACCUCUUCGAACAAGUCUCCCUAGUCGAGUCGUGACAUGUUGGCAAGCUGAUCCCAGCUCGUUUCCAGCUCCACGAGCUCCAUCCAGCUCAAAUCCAGCUCAUUCAAACGCAAUCUAGUUGCCUGAGCUAAACCGAGCUUACUCCUAGCUCAUUUUCAACUCACGAGCUAAACCUUAGCUCAACUUCAGCUUAGGAGUUUAACCUCAGCUCAACUUUAGCUCAAGGGCUAAAGCUUAUCUCAUUUUAGCUCAAACCCGAUUUUUGACUUUAAUUGAUUAAAUAAAAUUCGAAUAUAUUUAUUUAAGCAUUAAAUUUGUUUUAUAUUAAUAUUUGUUAUUAAUAUGUCAUAUAUAUCACAUAUCUUAAAUGUGUUCACAUUGUGCUGAAAUUAUGUGUGUUCACAUGAUGUCUUAUGAAUUAUUUUAUUUCUUGUAGGUGCAAUGCUCAUGGACAGCGCAAUGAAUGCUUGAAGCAACAUCUCUUUUGGACAUCCCACAUGCAUGAAUGAACAACAUUUAAUUAGGUGCAUGCAUGACCAGAUUCAAGGUGUUUACAAGUUCAUGUAUUUGUCAAAUACAUGAAUACACAAAAUACAUGAAUGUUUGGGUUCAAAUACACAUUUGGUUACAUGAAUGAUGAAGAUUCAUGCAUGAAUGUAUCUAGAAGAUCCAAUCCCUUUGGACGGUACACAUUCAUGCAUGGAAGGAAAUUAAUGCAAGUUCAUGUAGGGCUUGGUGCAAUGUAUGAAGAGGUGCAUGUAGAAUUGAGGUUCAAUGGACGACAUUUAAGGGAGUACAUGUAUUGGAGACGUUCAUGCAAGUAGGGGCUAUUUAAUGUUCAUCUUUUUGAAGGUUCAUGGACAGAAUUUAUGGAGGAACAUACAUUAGGACGUUUCAUGCAUGAUCCAUGCAUUUUCAAGCUAACCAUUCAAGUAUUCAAGGUGCAUUAAAGCUUCAUUCGGCCAAGGGGGAUUAUGGAACAUUAAAGGGCUGUACAUUCAUGGAUAUUCAUGAUUUUUAUUCUAGAAUUAUCUAGGUGUUUAUGGCCGAAUUUCUUAGCUUCUAAGCUUGUCCAUUCGUCUACUUUUAUUUAGGCUAUAAAUAUAUGUUAUUUCAUUUGUAAGAGGUUAGACUUUUCACUUAAUGAAACUUUGUUAAACUUUCAUGGAAUUUGUGAGAUUUCUUUCUCUCAUAUUUCGUUGAGGACUUCGUUGGCUUAUCUAGGAAGCCUAGUGGCAUCAACCCUAUUCUUCACUAUCCCAAACUUAUCACUAUCAAAUAGUGUGGUGUUCACCCAUAUACCGAGGUUCCUACUUUGUUAAGUAGUGGAUCGAGGUUCUAUCAUUUUCAUUUUUACCUUGAAAGCUUUCCUGCGCAACUUAGGUGGAAGGCAAAGAAGGCCUCCUUUCGAGAGGGCCCGAGCCAUCAGUGAGAUACCACUCUGGAAGAGCUAGAAUUCUAACCUUGUGUCAGGACCUACGGGCCAAGGGACAGUCUCAGGUAGAUAGUUUCUAUGGGGCGUAGGCCUCUCAAAAGGUAACGGAGGUGUGCAAAGGUUUCCUCAGGCCGGACGGAGAUUGGCCCUCGAGUGCAAAGGUAGAAGGGAGCUUAACUGCAAGACCCACCCGUCGAGCAGGGAUGAAAGUCGGCCUUAGUGAUCCGACGGUGCCGAGUGGAAGGGCCGUCGCUCAACGGAUAAAAGUUACUCUAGGGAUAACAGGCUGAUCUUGCCUAAGAGCUCACAUCGACGGGAAGGUUUGGCACCUCGAUGUCGGCUCUUCGCCACUUGGGGCUGUAAUAUGUUCCAAGGGUUGGGCUGUUCGCCCAUUAAAGCGGUACGUAAGCUGGGUUCAGAACGUCGUGAGACAGUUCGGUCCAUAUCUGGUGUGGGCGUUAGAGCAUUGAGAGGACCUUACCCUAGUACGAAAGGACCGGGAAGGACCCACCUCUGGUGUACCAGUUAUCGUGCCCACGGUAAACACUGGGUAGCCAAGUGCGGAGCGGAUAACUGCUGAAAGCAUCUAAGUAGUAAGCCCACCCCAAGAUGAGUGCUCUCCUAUUCCGACUUCCCCAGAGCCUCCGGUAGCAUAGCUGAGACGGCAAAGGGUUCUCUGUCCCUGCGGGGAUCGAGUGACAGAAGUUUUGAGAAUUCAAGAGAAGGUCACGGCUAGACGAGUCGUUUAUCAUUACGAUAGGUGUCAAGUGGAAGUGCAGUGAUGUAUGCAGCUGAGGCAUCCUAACAGACCAGUAGACUUGAACCUUGUUCCUACAUGACCCGAUCAAUUCGAUCAGGCACUCGCCAUCUAUUUUCAUUGUUCAACUCUUUGACAACACGAAAAAUCCAUUGUUCAACUCUUUGACAACAUGAAAAAACCAAAAGCUCUACCCUCCCUCUCUAUCUAUCCAUGGGAUAGAAGGGCGGAGGCCUUUGGUGUCCCCUCCAGUCAAGAAUUGGGGCCUCAUAAUCACUAGCCAAUAUGCUUUUCCUUUUCUUGCACGCCUUUCUUCAUUCAUGGUUCGAUAUUCUGGUGUCCUAGGCGUAGACGAACAACACCAAUCCUGAUACGGGGUUGCACGUGGACCAAGAUCGAGUUGCCAAGUCACGAGAAACUCCUACGAAAGCUCUAAAUGAACAGAUCUGAAAUCAAACAAAGAACGAGAUUAAAUCUGGAAAAUUAAAAUCUAGAAUAAGAACCCUAAAAAAAUCAGCAAGAUCUAAUCAAGGAACGAAACACUUAUGAAAGAGGUUUCUUGAAACCAAGAACACGAAAUUGAUUCCCAAGAAUGAACUCCCACAAGCCGAAUCUGCCAAGAACACCAAAACAGUAAGUAGAUUGAAACAAUCAGAUUUUUAAUUGGAAGAUUAGGGAUUUGGGCGGCAAAAAAAAAAAGAAAAGAAAGAAAUAGGUGAAAUUGAACAGUUCAAGAAGUGAAUUUAAGUUGCGAUUCGGUCCAAUUGAACACCCAAUAUGAAUUGCCCAAAUUUUAGCAGCCGAAUUUCACCCAACAAGAAGAAAUAGAAAACGGCAAGAACCCUAAAUUUUGGGGAAUUUUGAGUCGAUUAUAUGUGGCCAAUAAAAGAACCGAUUAAAUGAAGAGUUCUUGGAGUUUGAAUCAAGGCUGAAACACAAACAAGAACAGCAAAAUAUUAGAUGAUGAAUCGGCACAAGUAGGAAUAAAGAAACAAAUCGAAACAGCAAGAAAUAAAGAAAAGUCCUAAGAACCCUUGAAUUCCCGAAAGAAUUCACAAAUUCCUUCAAACGGCUCUAAUCUCCCCUCCAAAGAAUAUCGAUGGCAAGAAGAAGGUUGAAGAUGGCUCCCACAAUCAAAAGAUUGUUAAAACAACUUCUAAAGAAAACUCAAGAGAGAAUUCUUGGAGAAAACCCCAAAGAAAAUUCUACACUCAACAAAUCUGAAAUUUGAUAGAAAAAAAUAAUAAUAAGAUGUGUUUACAAAGGGUGGCUGGCCAAUGCUUAUAUAGGCCUCCAACAAAUCCUAAUCUCACAAGUAACUAAUAAAAAUUAAACCUAAUUAAUAAAAUAACAAGGUAAAUUCGGCCAUGCACUUAUAUGGGCUGUUUUGGGCCGAAUUUUACAUGUAAUGCUCCUAAAGAUUAAAAAAUUAAAUUAAACAAGUAGGAUGUUUACGAAUUGGGCCCUUUGACAUUUUGGCCUGAUUUUCAACUAAGUAUGAAGAAAUUUCUUGAUUGGGCUGGAUUUUGGUUAUUGGGCCUCGCCUUCAAGAAUUUGGGCUCGUGAUCCAUCUCCUACCAAAAUUGGGUCGAUGACGCUCGUAAUGGAGAUCCAAUGCGUUUUGGCUGCAAGAUUUGGUUUCUUGGACCAAGAUUUCCAAGAUUUGAAAUCUUGAUUUUCUUGAUUCUUGAAAUCUCUUCGAACAGCAAAAUUGGGCCAAGAUUCGGUUUCUUGAUUUUCUUGAAAACAAGAAAGUGAAUCUUGAUUUUCUUGUUCUCUCGUGUAUGCAUCUAAGGCCUUGCUAACAAGCUCUUGAAUGGUCCCAUUUAGUUUGGACCGCAUUUGUCGGGCCUUUGAUCUUGUUAUUGGGCCUUGUGGCAAUUUGAGCCCAGCACGUUCUUGAACUUGGAUUGGGCCUUUAUGACUCGUAUCAUUCCCCCCUUGCUCAAAAAGAUUCGUCCUCGAAUCUAAAAAAUCAAAUGGGGACAAGUCAGCCACAUUAAAAGUAGAACUUACAUUGUACUCACCAGGUAGAUCAAUUUUAUAGGCAUUAUCGUUGAUCCGCUCGAGUACUUGGAAAGGCCCAUCGCCCCUUGGGUCCAACUUAGUCUUCCUUUUUGUAGGAAAUCGUUCUUUCCUCAAAUGGACCCAAACCCAAUCUCUGGGUUCUAGUACAACCCGUUUGCGCCCCUUGUUUGCUUUGUUGGUGUUGGCAUCAUUUGUUUUGGCUAUUCGCUGUCUAGCCUUCUCAUGUAAGGAUUUCACCAACUCAGCUUUCUGUUCGCCAUCUAAAUUCAUAACGUGUUCAAGAGGUAAUGGCGCAAGAUCAAGUACUGUUAGUAGGUUAAAACCAUAAACAAGUUCAAAUGGGGAAUAACCAGUUGUAGAAUGAAUAGAUCUAUUAUAUGCAAAUUCAACGAAUGGUAGGCAUUCUUCCCAAUUUCUAAUGUUCUUUCCCACAACAGCUCGUAAUAGAGUCCCUAAGAUUCGAUUAACUACUUCAGUUUGACCAUCAGUUUGGGGGUGACAUGUAGUAGAAUAAAGCAAUUUAGUACCAAGCUUACCCCACAAUACCUUCCAAAAGUGGCUAAGGAAUUUGACAUCUCUAUCAGAAACAAUUGUUUUAGGGAUGCCAUGAAGUCUUACCACUUCUUUAAAGAAUAAGUCGGCCACAUGUGUAGCAUCAUCUGUUUUGUGACAAGGAAUAAAAUGUGACAUCUUUGAAAACCUGUCAACAACAACAAAUAUACUAUCUCUUCCUUUUUUUGUUCGAGGCAAACCUAAAAUAAAAUCCAUGGAUAAAUCUACCCAAGGUGAAGUAGGAAUCGGUAGAGGAGUGUAAAGGCCAUGAGGCAUUACCUUAGAUUUUGCUUGUUUGCAUGUAAUGCACUUGGAACAUACCUUUUCCACAUCCUUCUUCAUAUGUGGCCAAUGGAAGUGUUCUUGCAAUAUGUCUAGUGUUUUGGCCACUCCAAAAUGUCCCAUUAGUCCCCCACUAUGGGCUUCAUGAAUCAACAAUUCUCUCAUGGAACACUUUGGUAUGCAUAACCUGUUUAAACGAAAAAGAAAGCCAUCUACAAGAUAAAAUUUUUCAAAAGCAGUAUGUCCACAAUUCUUAUAGAUAUGGCUGAAAUCAGUAUCAUCAUCAUAUAACUCUUUAAUAUGUUCAAACCCUAAGACUUUAGCAUUCAAUGUAGUUAUUAAAGUAUAUCGUCUAGACAAAGCAUCUGCGACUACAUUAUCUUUACCUGUUUUAUAUUGAAUCACAUAAGGGAAUGUUUCAAUGAAUUCUACCCAUCGGGCAUGUCUUUUACUCAACUUACCUUGUCCCUUUAACCAUUUAAGAGACUCAUGAUCUGUAUGUAUGACAAACUCAUUAGGCAGCAAAUAAUGUUGCCAUACUUGAAGUGCACGAACUAAUGCCAAUAGUUCUUUGUCAUAAGUCGAGUAAUUUAACUGCGCACCGUUCAAUUUCUCACUAAAAUAAGCAAUAGGUUGCUUAUCUUGCAUUAAAACGGCGCCGAUUCCAAUUCCUGAAGCAUCACACUCAAGUUCAAAAGUGUUAGCAAAAUCAGGUAAUUUAAGCAAAGGAGCAGAACAUAACUUAGUUUUUAGAGUUUGAAAAGCUUUUUCUUGGGUUUCACCCCAUUUGAAACCCACUGAUUUCUUUAUAACUUCAGUCAAUGGGGCAGCAAUAGUAGAGAAAUCUUUCACAAAUCGUCUAUAAAAACUGGCUAAACCAUGGAAAGAUCUCACCUCAGUUAUCGAUUUAGGAGUCAGCCACUCCUUAAUUGCCUUAACUUUGUCCUCGUCGACAUGAAUACCUUGAGCACUAACUAUGAAACCUAUGAAUAUUAGUUUAUCACAACAGAAUGUGCAUUGAUCAAGGUUGGCAAAUAAUCUUUCAGUUCGUAGAAUAUCCAAAACGGUUCGAACAUGGAAAACAUGAUCAUCUAAUGACUUUGAGUAAAUUAAAAUAUCAUCAAAGUAAACUACUACAAAUUUACCCAAAUGUAGCCUCAAAACAUGAUUCAUUAAUAUCAUAAAUGUACUAGGUGCAUUGUAAGGCCGAAAGGCAUAACUAACCAUUCAUACAAUCCAAAUUUUGUUUUAAAAGCUGUUUUCCAUUCAUCCCCUUCCCUCAUUUGAAUUUGAUGAUAACCGCUUUUUAAAUCAAUUUUUGUAAAUAUUAUUGAACCAUGUAAUUCAUCAAGCAUAUCAUCAAGUCUAGGGAUUGGGUGUCGAUACUUUACCGUUAUCUUGUUGAUUGGGCGACAAUCAACACACAUAUGAAACGUACCAUCUUUCUUUGGCACCAAUAAGACAGGAACAGCACAAGGACUUAGGCUCUCACGAAUGUACCCUUUGUCUAGUAAUUCCUCCACUUGCCUUUGCAAUUCCUUUGUCUCCUCGGGAUUGCAUCUAUAGGCUGGUCGAUUUGGGAUUGAAGCUCCGGGUACUAAGUCAAUUUGAUGUUCUAUCCCUAGUAAAGGUGGUAAACCUUUAGGGGCCUCACUAAAAACAUCCUCAUAAUCCCGCAAAAGAGAUUGAAACACACUAGGUAAAUUUUCGUUAAUGUUAGAUAAAGAUAAAUAAUUUUGCCUAAACCUCACAAGGAUACAAGGCUAUUUAUUAAGUAGGGCUCUCUUCACAUCUUUUUUUGUUGCCAAAAGAUUUUUUCCGCUCAUUUUACCACUAGAGGAUUCACUCACCUUUGGGCUUUUUAAAUUUUGACUUUUUCCACUACUAUUAGCCUCUUUUCUCUCUGUCUUUUGUACUUGCUCUUUCUCCCUUACUCCCUCACAAAAUUUUAUCAUCCUCAAUUGAUCUUUAUAUACAUCAAUAGGAUUUAAAGGAGCAAAAGUGAAUUUCUUGCCUUUAAAUACAAGGGAGUAUCGAUUAAGUUUACCUUGGUGUGUAACAUCGCGAUCAAAUUGCCAAGGUCGUCCAAGGAGCAAGUGUGCCGCAUGCAUGGGGACUACAUCACACCAUACGUCAUCCUCAUAAUUGCCGAGUUUAAAAGUGACCAAGGACUGUUUCGUAACUUUAACUUCGGAACAUUCAUUAAGCCACUGAAGGUGAUAUGGCUUAGGGUGUUUGGUACAAGGCAACUUUAAAGAAUCCACCAAAUAACUACUCACUACAUUCGAGCAACUCCCACUAUCAAUAAUGAGUGAACAUAAGUUACCUUUAAUAAAACACCGAGAAUGGAAAAUAUUGGUCCUUUGGCUCUCAUCAUCUUUUAUCUGAAUGUUAAGGGUUCGACGAACUACAAGGCAUUGAAAAUUAGCAAAGUCCCCUUCCUUUGGUGGUUCGACCAACUCGUCACCAUUAUCACUGUCAUCCACAAGUUCUGGCAUAUCUGGAUCUGUAUUAUCAGAGUCGAAAGUGUACUCACCGUUAUCUUUUAGAAGAAGUAAUCUCGUGUUAGGGCAUUCUCUACUAUAAUGACCACGCCCUUUGCACUUAAAGCAUUCAAUCUCACGAGUCCUCUUCGCACUCGAAUCACCUAAAUUGGGCUGCUUAGAAGGUGUUUGCGUUUUUGCAGGAGCCCCUUUUUUCCAAUCUGAUUGUUUACUUCCAUUACUCAAAGAAGACUUGUUAGUAACAAAAGGUGGUUUUGAACUCUUAAAAUCAGAAUUGGAAUUGUUACCUCGAUAAUAUUGUGAAGUAGAUAAGGACCCAAACCUUUGUUCCUUUAAUUGUUGCUCGAUCUCAAUGGCUUUGUGAACUGCUUCUUCCAAAUCAAUGUAAGUUUGUAGCCUCAAUGUAUUAGCUAUCGGCCUGUUCAAACCAACAAUGAAUCGAACCAUAGUUGUUUCUUCAUCUGCCUCCACAUUAGCUCUCUGAAUGAGCAUCUCCAUCUCUUUAAAAUAUUCAUCCACCGUCCUACUACCUUGGAUAAGUCUUCUCAACAUUGUUUUAAUUUCUCUAUAGUAGUGAGGUGGAAUAAACCUUUUACGCAUAAUCUGUUUCAACUCAUCCCAUGUUGAAAUCUCACCUUCAUAAUUCCGAUGGCGGUUUACCCCAAGUUGAGUCCACCAACUUAAUGCAUAAUCAGAAAAUUCCAGUGUUGCUAACGCUACCUUUUCAUCAUCCGGACAUUUAUAAUACCGAAACAUGAGUUCAAUCUUAGAUUCCCAUUCACAAUAAGCGUCAGGAUCAUUCUUACCACGAAAUUGGGGAAUUGUGAAUUUCGGUUUUGCCAAAGAAGGUUGUCCACGAUCAUGAAAAUCAUCAUCCAUUCUAGGGACACGUCGAGGGCCGCGCCUAUGGGGAUGGUUAUUCCUAUCUUCCCUGAUUGGAUCUCGAUAUUGAAGUUCUUGAUUCAUUCGUACCUCAUUCAAAGUAGUAUUCAAUGCUUGAAGGGUAGCAUUUAUUUGUGUGAUUGCAGCAGCGUGUCCUUCUAACUGUUGUUGGACUUCCAUAAGUGUAUCAUUAUGGUCAUCUUUAGACAUCUUCCAAAAAAACUGCAAAAAUAAACACUCAACACUAAAAAAUAAAAGUUAUCAAACCUCACCGUUAAUCACUCAAAAAUAAAAAAUCAAAUUCUCAAUGAGGUCGAAUUCAAUCUUGUGAGUUCUUUAUCAGAGUUUAUAUCAACCAAUUAGAGAGUGUGAACCAAACUACCAAAGAAUCCUAAUUUGCACUAGGAUGCCAAAAACUGACGAGACACCAAUUGAUUCGUGUUGCACCGAGGAAGAAGUUGUGCACACGUUUAAAUCCUACUAACACAAGAAACAAGAAGGUGUUAGAUAACGUAAAGGAAGAAUAAAGGUAAACAGAUGAAAACCUACAGCUAAGAAUCAAUAAAAAUUGCUGAAAACAGAAAACCCGAAAAACUGCGGAGUAACUUGACAACUUCGUUCAAGGUGUUCCCGAUCUCCAAAAAUAACGAAAUUAAAUCUGGAGUGUCCUUAUAUAUUGAAUUUUUGAUCUGGAAAUUUUGGGCACCAAAUUCAACCCGCUGAAUCUUUUUUUAAAUUUUUAUUGAAUUUCGUCUUUUUUUAUUUUUUUUGACUUUUUUGACUGAUUUUUUUGCGGGAAUAAUUUUUUUAUAUUCAAUCACAGUGCCAAAAACAUGUAUGUAAAAUUUUAGAUCAAUCGGACAACGUUUACCCACUCAAAUGAAUUUUUUUGAACAAUUUUUCUGGGUAAAACUGCUGUUUAUGCUUUAAAAAAUAGAGAUCAGUUUAGAAAUCAACCAAGAACACCCAAAACGCCCAAAAUCUGAUACCAAAUGAUACGGGGUUGCGCGCGGACCAAGAUCGAGUUGCCAAGUCACGAGAAACUCCUACGAAAGCUCUAAACGAACAGAUCUGAAAUCAAACAAAGAACGAGAUUAAAUCUGGAAAAUUAAAAUCUGGAAUAAGAACCCUAAAAAAAUCAGCAAGAUCUAAUCAAGGAACGAAACACUUAUGAAAGAGGUUUCUUGAAACCAAGAACACGAAAUUGAUUCCCAAGAAUGAACUCCCACAAGCCGAAUCUGCCAAGAACACCAAAACAGUAAGUAGAUUGAAACAAUCAGAUUUUUAAUUGGAAGAUUAGGGAUUUGGGCGGCAAAAAAAAAGAAAAGAAAGAAAUAGGUGAAAUUGAACAGUUCAAGAAGUGAAUUUAAGUUGCGAUUCGGUCCAAUUGAACACCCAAUAUGAAUUGCCCAAAUUUCAGCAGCCGAAUUUCACCCAACAAGAAGAAAUAGAAAACGGCAAGAACCCUAAAUUUUGGGGAAUUUUCAGUCGAUUAUAUGUGGCCAAUAAAAGAACCAAUUAAAUGAAGAGUUCUUGGAGUUUGAAUCACGGCUGAAACACAAACAAGAACAACAAAAUAUUAGAUGAUGAAUCGGCACAAGUAGGAAUAAAGAAACAAAUCGAAACAGCAAGAAAUAAAGAAAAGUCCUAAGAACCCUUGAAUUCCUGAAAGAAUUCACAAAUUCCUUCAAACGGCUCUAAUCUCCCCUCCAAAGAAUAUCGAUGGCAAGAAGAAGGUUGAAGAUGGCUCCCACAAUCAAAAGAUUGUUAAAACAACUUCUAAAGAAAACUCAAGAGAGAAUUCUUGGAGAAAACCCCAAAGAAAAUUCUGCACUCAACAAAUCUGAAAUUUGAUAGAAAAAAAUAAUAAUAAGAUGUGUUUACAAAGGGUAGCUGGCCAAUGCUUAUAUAGGCCUCCAACAAAUCCUAAUCUCACAAGUAACUAAUAAAAAUUAAACCUAAUUAAUAAAAUAACAAGGUAAAUUCGGCCAUGCACUUAUAUGGGCUGUUUUGGGCCGAAUUUUACAUGUAAUGCUCCUAAAGAUUAAAAAAUUAAAUUAAACAAGUAGGAUGUUUACGAAUUGGGCCCUUUGACAUUUUGGCCUGAUUUUCAACUAAGUAUGAAGAAAUUUCUUGAUUGGGCUGGAUUUUGGUUAUUGGGCCUCGCCUUCAAGAAUUUGGGCUCGUGAUCCAUCUCCUACCAAAAUUGGGUCGUUGACGCUCGUAAUGGAGAUCCAAUGCGUUUUGGCUGCAAGAUUUGGUUUCUUGGACCAAGAUUUCCAAGAUUUGAAAUCUUGAUUUUCUUGAUUCUUAAAAUCUCUUCGAACAGCAAAAUUGGGCCAAGAUUCGGUUUCUUGAUUUUCUUGAAAACAAGAAAGUGAAUCUUGAUUUUCUUGUUCUCUCGUGUAUGCAUCUAAGGCCUUGCUAACAAGCUCUUGAAUGGUCCCAUUUAGUUUGGACCGCAUUUGUCGGGCCUUUGAUCUUGUUAUUGGGCCUUGUGGCAAUUUGAGCCCAGCACGUUCUUGAACUUGGAUUGGGCCUUUAUGACUCGUAUCAAAUCCAUCCCAAACUUGGUUGUUAAACUCUACUGUGAUGACGAUACUGUAGGAGAGGUCCUGCGGCAAAAUAGCUCGACGCCAGGAUGAUAAAAAGCUUAACACCUCUCAUUCUUAUUACUUUUUCAAUAUGAAAAAGUAAUAAGAAUGAAAAAUAAAAAAGGUCGUCUUAUUUAAAACCCCAAUUAUGAAAUCCCCUCUCUCCCACUUCACACCUCGGAACGCACCGUUCUUAUAGAGAGAAAGGCACUUUCACAUCUUCUUAACCCAAAAUGGCUAGGGAGAGGAAAGGUUCCUUUUUUUUAGGGUACUACUGGGAACAGAUCCAGUGGAGACGAGGUAGGGCCUGUAGCUCAGAGGAUUAGAGCACGUGGCUACGAACCACAGUGUCGGGGGUUUGAAUCCCUCCUCGCCCACAACCGGCCCAAAAGGGAAGGACCUUUCCCUCUGGGGGUAGGAAAAUCAUGAUCGGGAUAGCGGACCCAAAGCUAUGGAACUUGGGCGUGGGUCUUUUGCCAAACUGGAGUGGCCUUUUAUUUAUUAUUUAUCAUAUAUUUACUUUUUUAUUUUAUAUUUAUAUAUAGUAUUACCGGCCAAAACAAAAUAAAAUAAGCAUAUUUUUUUUGUUUUACGCCCCGUAACUAUUCCUCAGCCAGGCUUGGGUAGAAAAGCAGAGCAAGUACAAGUAUUAGUAGCAUAGAAAAAAUGUGCUCCUCGUCAUUAAAUUAAUGUGUUUGCUCACGGUAAUUGUGGCCUCUCGGGAGAAUCGAUGAUUGCAUCUUUGAGGCAUUUGCUAGUACUAGUACAUCUGAGAAUUCUUAAUUGGCUGGUUGUAAAUAGCCCCGGGACUAUGGAACAAAGGAUUAUCCCGGACACCUACACCGAGGUAUUGACGGUGAUUCUCAAAUAUCGCAGAAUAGGAUGUGAUACGAUGAGAUAGAAUGCAAUAGAAACAAAGACACAGGGAACGGGUUACCUGCUCUUAAAGGUCAAAGCAAACCCUUUCAUUCUGACAUUCUGAAUUCUUUAAUUCGAAAUGAAUCAAAUCUCCUCAAGUAGGAUUCGAACCUACGACCAGUCAGUUAACAGCCGACCGCUCUACCGCUGAGCUACUGAGGAACAACGGGAGAUUAGAUCUCAUAGAGUUCAAUUCCCGUUCUCAACCCAUGACCAAUAUGAACUCGAAGUUUCCUUCGUAACCCCCGGAACUUCUUCGUAUUGGCUCCGUUCCAUGCCUCAUUUCAUAGGGAACCUCAAAGUGGCUCUAUUUCAUUAUAUUCCAUCCAGAUCCCAAUUCCAUUUUUAUAUUGUCAUUGACAUGACAUAAGAGAUGUCGGUUCUAGUCUAUCUUUUUCUAUUUCUGUAUAUGUAUAUGGAAAGUUCAAAAAUCAUCAUAUAAUAAUCCAGAAAUAGAAAAGAAAAAAGGGAGGUUAAUGAUGAUUUUAAAAUCUUUUAUACCAGGGAAUCUAAUAUCCUUUUACAUGACGAUAAUCAAUUCAGUCAUUAUGGUCAGACUCUAUUAUGGAUUUCUGACCACACUAUCCAUAGGUCCCUCUUAUAUCUUCCUUCUACGAGCUUGAUUUAUGGAAGAAGGAGAAGAAGGAACCGAGAAGAGAGUAUCAGCAACAACUGGGUUUAUUGCAGGCCAGCUCAUGAUGUUCAUAUCAAUCUACUAUGUACCUCUGCAUUUAGCAUUGGGUAAACCUUAUACAAUAACUGUCCUAGCUAUACCGUAUCUUUUGUUUCAUUUCUUCUGGAACAAUCACAAAGACUUUUUUGAUCAUAGACGUCCUACCAGAAAUUCAAUGCGUAAUCUUAGCAUUCAAUGUGUAUUCCUGAAUAAUCUCAUUAUUCAAUUAUUCAACCAUUUCAUUUUACCAAGUUCAAUGUUAGCCAAAUUAGUCAACAUCUAUAUGUUUCGAUGCAACAACAAUAUGUUAUUUGUAACAAGUAGUUUUGUUGGUUGGUUAAUUGGUUAUAUUUUAUUGAUGAAAUGGGUUGGGUUGGUAUUAGUCUGGAUACAACAAAAUAAUUUAAUUAGGUCUAAUGUACUUAUUCGAUCUAAUAAGUAUCUUGUAUCAGAAUUUAGAAAUUCUAUGGCUCGAAUCUUUAGUAUUCUGUUAUUUAUUACCUGUGUUUACUAUUUAGGUAGAAUACCGUCACCCAUUCUAACUAAGAAACUGAAAGGAAUUUCCGAACCAGAAGAAGUGGGGGAAAGUGAGGAAGAAAGAAACAUAGAAAUAGAAAUUAUUUCCGAGGGGGGAGGGUGAUACGAGCACGCCCCGUGAACUUUAUCGAGCAAGUCUGUCAAGCCAAGCAAUGACAUGUUGGCAAGCUGAUCCAAGCUCGUUUCCAGCUCUACGAGCUCCGUCUAGCUCAAAUCCAGCUUAUUCGAGCUUAAUCCAUCUUGCCUGAGCUAAACCAAGCUCACUCCUAGCUCACUUUCAACUCACGAGCUAAACCUUAGCUCAACUUCAGCUUAGGAGUUUAGCCUCAGCUCAACUUUAGCUCACGGGCUAAAGCUUAGCCCAUUUUAGUUUAAACUCGGUUUUGUCUUUAAUGCAUUAAAUAAAAAUUUGCACAUAUUUAUUUAAGCAUUAAACUUGUCUUAUAUUAAUAUUUGUUAUUAAUAUGCCAUAGUCAUUACAUAAAUUGAUUAUGUUCACAUAACUGAAUUAAUGCAUGACAUUAAUGUGUUCACAUCAUGCCGAAUUUAUGAGUGUCCAUGAGAUAUCUUAAUGACUUGUUUAUUUCAUGUAGGUACAUCCCUUUGGACGGUACAAUGUAUGGAUGAAGAAACAUCUCUUUUGGGCAUUCCACACUCAUGAAUGAAGAAGUAUUAAAUGCUGGUGCAUGUACAGCUAGAUGCAAGGUUUCUACAAAUUCAUGCAUGUGUCGAAUGCAUGUAUGGACAUUAAAGGCUAGUCCAUGAAUGGAUCAAAUGCAUGGGAUGAUAGAAUGCAUGAAUGGUUUAAGUGCAUGUAUGGUGGCUGUCUCCUAACUUUCCAAGGCACUUAUUCGGCCAAGAAGUAGCUGUUCACACUUUGAAUUGACCUAUAAGCUACUACACAUGCAUGGAUGGGUUCAAGAACGUCCAAAGGAAGGAAUUAACUCAAUAAUUCAACACAUUGAUUGAAUUAAGUGUAUGCACAAAGGGGAGAACGAAUUUACUAGGUUCAUGCUGCCAUUUAUGAACCUACAUGCUAUUAAAGAGUUUAAUUAUGAGGAUACAUGUUCCAUACAAGUGCAUGAACGUCCCAAGGAGAUGAAUGCAACCUUUGGUGCACAUACAAGUCACUUGAAGCCUUUCUUUAUGAUUAAGCAUUCAUGCACACACUUAGGGGGAAGAAAGUGUCCAUUCAACUAGUUCAUGAAUCUGCCGAAUUUAUGAACUAUUUUAAUACAUUAGUGUGAAUGUUUUUAUUAUUGUGUGAACACCUAGAUGCCGAAUUUGAAUGGUCAUCUAUAUGCCUAUAAGUAUUUGUUUUCUUUCAAUUGUAAGAGACUUUUUGCCAAAAUUUUUAUUGAAUUUAAUCUUGUGAGAAUUUUCUUCUCUAAACUUUGUUUGAGACUUUGUUGACUUAUCUUCCUAGUAGUGGCGUCAACCCUGUUUCGUUCACUCUUAUACCGAGGUUCCUACUUUCUAAGUAGCGGGUCGAGGUUUAUCAUUUUCAUCCUCCACCUUGAAAGCCUAUAAGCAAUUGGGUCAAUACUCUCUAGUAUUGGUUCGUGCUUGCUUUUGAGUUCCUUCUUUCCAUUCUUUCAUUUACUUUAAACCGAACCUUAAUAUUCAUAUUUUAAACCCUUUAUUUGAACCCCUUGAAUAGCUUUCGCAUAAUUUAUUUAGAAACAUCCUUUUUAAACAAACUGGAUGAUACUUUCUUGUAGACGAUCGGGCAAACUCGCAUACGACUCGACUCUCCCCGAGGCGGUUCGUGUCAGAGGGGCUAACCAGAAACAGGGGACCGAAGAAAAUACUUCUUCUUCCCUUUUUUCGGAGGAAGUGGUGGAUCCAAGCAAAAUCAACGAAACAGAAAAGCUACGAGUGACUGGAAAGAAAAAAAAAUAAAGGGCGAACUCCACUUUCGUUUUAAAGAGACACAUUAUAAAAAUAGAUGGUUUAUGAAACUUCUUAUCUGGAUGGGAAUCAAGAAAGUUCAAAGUUAGAAAUAUUAAAAAAAAAAGAAGAUAAAUAUUUAUUAUGGAUUGAAAAACCUCUUGUGACACUUCUUUUUGAUUCUAAACGAUGGAAUCGACCUUUGCGAUAUAUAAAAAAUGACCGGGUUGAAAAUGCUAUAAAAAAUGAAAUGUCACAAUAUUUUUUUUAUACAUGUCAAAGUGAUGGAAAAGAAAAAAUAUCUUUUAUGUAUCCACCCAGUUUAGCAACUUUUGGGGAAAUGAUACAAAAAAAAAUAUAUUUUUUCACACCAGAAAAAUGGUUUUCUGAUGAAUUGUAUACUGAUUGGAGUUUUAUCAAUGAACUAAAAAGAAGAAAUUUGAGUAAGGAGUUUAUAAAAAGAGUCGAAUCUUUAGAUAAGGAAUCUUUUGAUCUGGGCAUACUUGAAAAAAGGACUCGAUUCUCUAAUAAUGAAACUAAACGAGAAUACUUGCCUAAACUAUAUGAUCCUUUCUUGCAUGGACCCUACCGCAGAAGAAUCAAAAAAUGGGGUUCUCCUUUAAGCAUAAAUCAAACUUAUAAAAAAAAACACGGAUCCAUUUUGGAUAAAUAAGAUUCAUUGAUACGAGUCACAAAAGCCCAAAUUCUUGAAGGCGAGGCCCAAUAAGCAAAUUCCCAGCCCAAUCAAGAAAUCCCUCCAUACUUAGUUGAAAAUCAGGCCAAAUUGUCAAAGUGGCCCAAGUUGUAAAGUUUUAUUUUUAUUUUUAUUUAUUUAUUUAUUUAUUUACUUAGUUUAAAUUUUUAUGUCAAUAUUCAGUCCAAGAGUCCCAGAUAAAAUGACCUUUGACCGAAUUUCCAUAUUAAAAUAAUUAGGAGUUUUUUUAUUUUAGUUUUCUAAUUAGAUUAGGACUAGUUAUAAGGCCUAUUUAAAGGCAUGGCUGUCCACCUUGUUAAACACUUUCAUUAUUAUUAAAAUUUCAGAUUUGUUGAGAGCAGAAUUUUCUUUGAGUUUUCUCCAAGAUUUUUCUCUUGAGUUUUCUUUAGAAGUUGUUUUAACAAUCUUGUGAUUGUGGGAGCCAUCUUCAACCUUCUUCUUGCCAUUGAUAUUCUUUGGAGGGGAGAUUAGAGCCGUUUGAAGGGAGUUGUGAGAUCUUUCGAGAUUUUAAGGCUUCUUAGGACUUAUCUUUUAAUUUUUUACUGUCAAUUCUUUCUUUAUUUCUACUUGUGCUGAAUCAUUAUCUAAUCUAUUUUCUGUUCUUAUUGUGUUUUCAGCCUUUUUCUAUCUUAAGGAAUCAGCCCAAAAAUCCCCAAUUUCUAGGGUUUUUCCAUACUCUUUUUUGGUGAAAUUAGAUUGUCGAAAUUUGGCAAAAACUAUCUUGGUGUUCAAUUGGGCAGAAUCACAAUCUCCUUGAGGGUUUCAAGAACCCUAACACUUAUUUCUAUUCUCAAUUUGAUUCUUUGCUGAUUUGGGGAUUUUAUUUCAGAUCUGAAAAUUCAAAAAUCUAAUCUUUUAAUUUUCUGUUUCGUUUCAGAUUUAAUUGUUUAGGGUUUUCGUAGGAGNNNNNNNNNNNNNNNNNNNNNNNNNNNNNNNNNNNNNNNNNNNNNNNNNNNNNNNNNNNNNNNNNNNNNNNNNNNNNNNNNNNNNNNNNNNNNNNNNNNNNNNNNNNNNNNNNNNNNNNNNNNNNNNNNNNNNNNNNNNNNNNNNNNNNNNNNNNNNNNNNNNNNNNNNNNNNNNNNNNNNNNNNNNNNNNNNNNNNNNNNNNNNNNNNNNNNNNNNNNNNNNNNNNNNNNNNNNNNNNNNNNNNNNNNNNNNNNNNNNNNNNNNNNNNNNNNNNNNNNNNNNNNNNNNNNNNNNNNNNNNNNNNNNNNNNNNNNNNNNNNNNNNNNNNNNNNNNNNNNNNNNNNNNNNNNNNNNNNNNNNNNNNNNNNNNNNNNNNNNNNNNNNNNNNNNNNNNNNNNNNNNNNNNNNNNNNNNNNNNNNNNNNNNNNNNNNNNNNNNNNNNNNNNNNNNNNNNNNNNNNNNNNNNNNNNNNNNNNNNNNNNNNNNNNNNNNNNNNNNNAAUUCAUUAUAAAUUACCAGAGAUAAUUAGGGGUUGUACCAUAUAUUUACAGAUUCCUCUCUGAGUCUAGUUUUCAUAGAAACAAACGGCAUCAGUAUUGGAGCCCUGUGCAGUGAGAUAUCCAAGUCGUAAUGGGCAAAGGUCAGUGUAGUCGACCCCUGCAACAUGGGAGACUUUGACUAAUAAACUGUACUAAUUGGCCCAACCAAAAAUUCUAGAAAAAAAUACAUAGAUGGGCACAUGAGUCUAGUUUCUGGGAAAAAAUCACAAAACUGAUUUUCGAGUUAUGAAACUCAAGAUAUGAUUUUUAGAACGACUAGUACACAGAUUGGGCAGUGUCUGGAAAAUAAACUUUAUAAGGGGUUAAAGUCAGUUAACACCUCGUGUUCGACUCCGGUGUCAGUUUCGGGUUCGGGGUGUUACAUUUGAUUGGUAUCAGAGCUAUGGUUUAGUCGGUUCUAGGACUACCAUAGCACGUAUGAGUCUAGCUAUACAUGCCUUAAUGUUAAUGUUUAAAAGGGUGAUGACUUCCGACGGUUGAAAUGUUUUGUUUUGAUUAGUAAAUGGAUCCCGGUGUAGUAGAAGAACCCUGGCGGAUGACGUUGAGAGCGUAGCGGCUGCUCCUGCACAAGGGACGCCGCCUGUUGAACCUCAGUCAUCUGCGAAUGAUCAAGGUGAGGGGGCUAAACAAGCCUUCUUUACCAUGAUGAAUGAGUGGGUCGCGCAAUAUGCCGAACCAACCCGGCUUGUCCAAACAAUUCCCAAAUUUGAAUAAUCCACCCCCAAGAGCCUGUAAUGCCAUCAGUCGCUGAUCCUGUGAGGCUGAGUAAGCCACCUGUAGACUUGAUUAGGAAGCGUGGGGUCGAGGAGUUCAAGGCCAUAGUAACUGAUGACGCCGAAAGGGCGAGGUCUGGCUUGAUAACACCAUUCGGGUGUUCGAUGAAUUGUCAUGCACACCUGACGAAUGUCUAAAAUGUGCUGUAUCUUUCUUGCGAGACUCAGCCCUACUAUUGGUGGAGGACCUUGAUUUCCAUAGUCCCGAACGAGCGAGUAACUUGGGACUUCUUUCAAACGGAAUUCCGAAAGAAAUUAUUAGCCAACGGUUCAUUGAUCAGAAGCGUAAGGAGUUCUUAGAACUCAAGCAAGGCCGUAUGACUGUAUCUGAAUACGAACAUGAAUUUGUUAGACUUAGUAGAUACGCUCGGGAAUGUGUUUCGUCCGAGGCUAUUGUGUGUAACGCUUCGAGGAUGGGGCUGAAUGAAGAUAUAAAAAUGUUCGUUGGCGUUCUUGAAAUACGAGAGUUCGUGGUACUUGUCGAGUGAGCUUGUAAAGCCGAAGAGCUUAGAAAAGAAAAACAAAAAGUUGAUGAGGGAACUGGAGAGUUUCGUAAAAUAUCUUCGGGAAAGUCUCUUCAACAGGCAUCGAAGAAAUUUCGAGAUGAUGUGGGCUGGUCGAGAGGCACUUCGGGCCUUUUUAGAUGAGAUCGUGAUCGACCCCCUUUGAGUACACGAGGCACUUCGGUCGCCAGUGUUGGGAAUGAACGUCGAGACAGAACGAAAUGUCGAUAUUGCGGUAAAUGGCAUUCGGGGAGUUGUAGAUUCCCUGACCGCUCCUGUUACAAGUGCGGAUCGGUUGACCACUUCAUUAAAGAUUGCCCGAGGUUGUCUGAACAGAAUGUAAAUCAGAGUGGGAAACCGGGGUGCUACCACUGCUCGAGGUAGACCAUCUGGAAAUACGGGCAAUGCUGGUGGUAGUCAGAGAGGGGCCUCUGAUACGGCUGCUCGAGCCGAGAACCGUACUCCUGCUAGAGCAUAUGCCAUUCGCGCACGAGAGGAGGCAUCCUUCCCUGACGUCAUCACUGGUACCUUCACUCUCUUUGAUACUAAUGUGAUUGCAUUGAUUGACCCUGGUUCUACUCAUUCAUAUGAAUGCGAAACCUUAGCAACCAGUAAGACUCUACCUGUUGAGUCUACUGAGCUCGUAAUUCGAGUAUCAAACCCUUUUGGGUCAAUGCGUAUUUGUUGAUAAAGUGUGUAAGAGAUGCCCUCUAAUAAUCCGAGAAUCCUGUUUUCCGGCUGAUUUGAUGCUUUUGCCGUUCGACGAGUUUGAUGUUAUUCUUGGUUUGGAUUGGUUAACCGCGCAUGAUGCGGUUGUGAAUUGCAAAAGCAAGACUAUCGAUUUGAGGUGCGCAAAUAAUGAAAUAAUCCGAGUUGAGUCUGCGGACUUAAGGGGGUUGCCAGCUGUAAUAUCAGCAAUGUUGGCCCAGAAAUAUGUAAGGAAAGGGUGCGAAGCAUACCUCGCGUAUGUACUUGAUGACAAGGAGUUAGAAAAGAAACCCGAAUCGGUGCCGGUGGUUCAUGAAUACCCGGAUGUUUUUCCUAAAGAGUUACCGGGUUUGCCACCUGUUCGGGAGAUAGAGUUUGGUAUUGAGCUUGUACCUGGAACUACGCCAAUUUCGAUCGCUCCGUAUCGUAUGGCACUAACCGAGUUAAAAGAGUUGAAAGCUCAAUUGCAAGAAUUGACGGAUAGAGGUUUCGCUCGAUCGAGUUUCUCACCCUGGGGUGCACCAGUAUUGUUCGUGAAAAAGAAGGACGGAACCAUGAGGUUGUGCAUUGACUAUCGUCAACUGAAUAAAGUGACAAUAAAGAAUAAGGAUCCGUUACCGCGUAUCGAUGAUUUGUUCGACCAACUGACGGGAGCCUCAAUGUUCUCAAAAAUAGAUCUGAGAUCGGGCUAUUAUCAGUUGCGAAUUCGAGAAUCAGACAUACCCAAAACUGCCUUCAGGACGAGAUAUGGUCACUACGAGUUCUUAGUGAUGCCGUUUGGGCUCACUAAUGCCCCUGCGGUAUUUAUGGAUUUGAUGAAUCGGAUCUUCAGACCAUAUUUGGAUCGGUUCAUAGUUGUGUUCAUUGAUGACAUCUUGGUCUAUUCAAGAGAUGAGAUCGAACAUGUUGAAGACUUGAGAUUAGUGUUGCAAGUUUUGCGGAAUAAGAAGUUAUAUGCUAAGUUCAGUAAGUGUGAGUUCUGGUUAAGAGAGGUUAGCUUCUUGGGUCAUGUGGUAUCCGCAUCGGGUAUUCGAGUUGACCCGAACAAAAUCUCAGCCAUACUUAACUGAAAACCUCCGAGAAGUAUUACUGAGGUUCGGAGCUUUUUGGGACUCGCCGGUUAUUACCGACGAUUUGUCAAAGGUUUCUCGAUGAUAGCCACACCAAUGACGAAGCUACUUCAAAAGGAUGUUAAGUUCGAAUGGACGGAGAAAUGUCAGAAAAGCUUCGAUCAGCUGAAAACUCAUUUGACUGAAGCUCCAAUUUUGGUGCAACCCGAAUCGGGUAAAGAGUUUGUCAUUUAUAGUGACGCAUCCCUACUUGGGUUGGGUUGCGUAUUGAUGCAAGAAGGUCGAGUUGUGGCCUAUGCGUCGAGACAAUUGAAGCCACACGAGAGAAACUAUCCGACCCAUGAUCUCGAACUAGCCGUCAUUGUGUUCGCAUUGAAAAUAUGGCGACAUUAUUUGUUUGGUGAGAAGUGCCAUGUGUUUUCGGAUCACAAAAGUCUCAAAUAUUUGAUGACUCAACGAGACUUGAAUCUGCGACAAAGACGUUGGCUUGAGUUGUUGAAAGAUUACGAGCUUGUCAUUGAUUACCACCCGGGAAAGGCUAAGGUGGUUGCGGACGCCUUAAGCCAGAAAUCACUGUUUGCUUUGCGAGCGAUGAAUGUACACUUGUCUGUUCUAUCUGACAAUGUGUUAGUAGCUGAAUUAAAAGCCAAACCAUUAUUGACUCAUCAAAUUCUUGAAGCUCAGGAAGUCGAUAAUGAAUUGGUUGCGAAACGAGCUGAGUGUGUUCUGAACAAGGAAUCGGAGUUUCAGAUUGAUGAUGAUGGUUGUUUGAGGAUUAGAAGUCGUUUGUGUGUUCCAAGGAAUUCGGAACUCAUUCCGAUGAUUCUGAACGAAGCCCAUUGUAGCCGAAUGUCAAUUCACCCGGGGAGCACGAAAAUGUACAACGACUUGAAACGUCGGUUUGGGUGGCAUGGUAUGAAACGAGACAUCUCCGACUUUGUUUCGAGAUGUUUAAUAUGUCAACAAGUGAAAGCGGAACAUCAAGUGCCUUCAGGGUUACUUCAGCCGAUCAUGAUACCCGAGUGGAAAUGGGAUCGAGUCACAAUGGACUUUGUGUCCGGACUACCAUUGUCAACAAGUAAGAAGGAUGCGAUUUGGGUUGUUGUUGAUAGACUGACUAAGUCGGCUCACUUUAUCCCCGUGCGCACGGAUUUUUCAUUGGAUAAACUAGUCGAAUUGUAUGUUUCUCAGAUUGUGAGAUUACACGGGGUACCUAUUUCUAUCGUGUCGGAUAGAGAUCCGAGAUUCACCUAGCGAUUUUGGAGGAAAUUGCAAGAAGCUUUGGGUACCAAGCUGCAUUUUAGCACUGCUUUUCAUCCCCAAACCGAUGGUCAAUCCGAGCGGAUGAUUCAGAUACUCGAGGAUAUGCUGAGAUGCUGCAUCCUUGAGUUUAGUGGUUCAUGGGAACGGUAUGUACCUUUGAUUGAAUUCGCUUACAACAAUAGUUUUCAAUCAAGUAUUAAGAUGGCACCUUACGAGGCUUUGUACGGUCGUAAAUGCCGUACACCAUUGUUUUGGACCGAGCUCGGUGAAAGUAAAAUUUUCGGAGUUGAUUUGGUUAAAGAUGCUGAACAGAAAGUAAAGGUAAUCCGUGAAAGUCUGAAGGUGGCCACGGAUCGUUAGAAGUCGUACGCAGAUUUGAAACGAAAAGACAUCGAGUAUCAGGUGGGAGACAAAGUGUUCCUUAAGGUUUCACCUGGGAAAAAGGUACUUAGGUUUGGCCGUAAGGGCAAGUUGAGCCCAAGAUUCAUUGGGCCGUACGAAAUCUCCGAACGAGUGGGGCCAGUGGCGUAUAGAUUGAUUUUGCCCCCGGAGCUUGAAAAGAUUCAUGACGUCUUUUAUGUUUCGAUGCUUCGACGCUAUCGAUCUGAUCCAUCGCAUAUAAUUAGCCCAUCAGAGGUUGAAAUUCAAGUCGACAUGAGCUAUGAAGAAGAACCGAUGCGUAUCCUAGCUCGUGAAGUGAAGGAGUUGCGAAAAAAAAAAAAAAAAAAAGGGGGUUCCGUUAGUGAAGGUGUUAUGGCUCAAACACGGGAUCGAGGAAGCUACUUGGGAAACCGAGAGCUCGAUGAAAGAACGAUACCCAAACCUAUUUACCGGUAAAAUUUUCGGGGACAAAAAUUUCUUAAGUGGGGGAGAGUUGUAACAGCCCAAAGUUGACCCUAGUCGGGAAGUGGUCUCGGGACCGCUAAACCGAGUCACCGGAAUGUUUGAAUGUGAUACUUAUUGUCUAGAAUAUGUAAUUAUGAAGGUGUGAAAAUUUCAAGCUUCAAUUUGGUUGAUUUCAUGAGAAUUUAGUCAAUAGGACUUAUGUGAGAAAAUUCUAAAACGUGAUAGGUCAAUGUGUGAGGACCUAUUAGUGCAUGUGGACAAAGGGGGGGACUUGCAUGUCAAAUUUCCCCUCCCUACUAGUAAGUGGCCGGCCAUGACAAGCAUGGUAGACCAAGUUUGAUGGCCAAGACAUGUCAUAGACAUGUUUUGUUGGUGCAUCAUGGGUGGAAAAAAAUAAAAUAAUAGGCAUGGGAAUUAAAUAAUGAAAAGGAGCAUGAUGAAUAGACAAAAAAGAAAAAAAAAGUGUGUAGUUGAUUCUUUCUCCCCCCAUUGCCGUGAGCUAAAGAAAAGGAAUGAGAGAAUUUUUGUUCAUCCUUUUCUCAUCCUUUGGUUCAUCCUUGGCCAAAAUUUUAAGGAGGAAAGAAGAAGAAAGGUGAAGAGAUUCGGCCAUGCAUGUAGCUAGGCUAAGGUAUGUUUGAUGAUGUUUCAUGAGAUGCAUGCAUGUUUUAGUUGUUAGCUUGAGUUCUACCUAGCCCAUGGUCUAAAUCUUGCUAUGUGAUGGAAAUGGCACUUGACCAUGGGUACAACAUUCUUGGUUGAUGUUUGAUGUUGUGGGAUGAGGCAUGAGGAUGAGUUAAGAUUCGGCCUAGGUGGAGGUCGUGCUAAUGCCAUUGCAUGCAAAAUAUGAAGCUUGUUAAUGAUGCAUGUGAUGAUGGCUUGAUGAUUUUUGAACCUCCUUUUUAGCAUUUUUUUUGUGUGAGCACAUAUGUGCAUUGAUUGCUAAAUGGAGAAGAAUCGGCUAGCAAGAUGUGUGCUAAGGCCGAAUGUAACUUUGCAUGUUAAUGAGCAAUGCAUGUGUUAAAUUGAUGAAAAGAGGGAGGAUGCUUUACUAGUGUGUAUAUGUGUGUAUUAAGUGUUGAAAUCGACCCCAAAAAUAGGCAUGCAUAUUCGGCCAAGGGGAAAGAAAUUAGCUAAUAUGUUGUGUUGAUGCAUGAUUUUUGCAUGUAUGAGACUUUAAUGUCUAAUGUAUAAAUAUGGGCUAAGUGCCUUGUGUUCAUCUUUUUGAUGCCUAAAUGAUGAAAUUGUCGAAUGAUUAGUUGGGUAACAAAAGAAGCAUUCGGCCAUCACUUGAGAGUUUGUGUGAUGUUGGGUUUAAAAUUAGCAAAGGUGACUUACCUAAUGCAUGUGCAUGUGUGAUUAGAUUUUUGAUGAUAUGGUAGUUGCGUGAGGUUAUUAGCCGAAUAUACUAACAUACAUAUACAUGUGAAAUUGGAUUGUAAAUAUUUAGCAAGGUGGUUAAACUAGUUAAAUUAUUGAUUAAGCUCAAGGAGUUAAAGGAGGUGAAUCGAGCAAAGGCAAAGAAAAGGUCAUCGAGUAGCCGAGUUGGAACCGUCUUACCCAACACGAGGUAAGUCAUUAAGCAUGUAGUUGGUAUUGUUUUAAAUGGUCAUAAUGUGUAUGUAUUGAUGCUGAAUGGAAUGAAUAAAUAUACAUAUAUAUAUAUAUAUAUGCAUGUACGUAUGGGAUGAUGAAAUUGUUGAAUGAAAAGAAAAGAGGUAAGAUGUACUAAGUUGUUGAUCUCGGCACUAAACGUGCGGGUAUAACCAUUUAUGACCAUGAGAUUGGCGCUAAGUGCGCGGGAGUAAAUUGUACAGCACUAAGUGUGCGAUUUGGCUAUGUAGCACUAAGUGUGCGAUUUGACCAUGUUGCACUAAGUGUGCGAAAUGAAAAUGAUGCACUAAGUGUGCGAAUUGACCAUGCGACACUAAGUGUGCGAGUUGACUAUGUAGCACUAAGUGUGCGAGUUUGAUUAUGUGGCACUAAGUGUGCGAGUUGAUUAUAUAGCACUGAGUGUGCGGACUUAAUAUAUAUUCUUGAAUCAUUAUGGACACUAAGUGUGCGACGCUAUUGAGUCGAUCACGGACGGCGGAUCGGGUAAGUGUCUUGAGUUCAUGGCUAAUAGGUGCUAUGUCGAUACUUGGUGAUGAGCUUGGUAAGUUUGAACCUAUGUGACAAAUAUACUUGAAGUCACGUACAUGAAAUUUAUCGUAGAAUGGGUGAAAGGCCGUUUAGUUGUAUGUUGGUAACGAAAAUAAAAUGAUUUAUGAAAAUGCCUCGAAUAUCCUAUUGAUGAGUAUGUGGAUUGUGAAUGCAUAAAUUGGUAUGAAACCAAACCGAUAGGUCGGAGGAACUAUGGUAUGGUUCGGAAUGGAUGGAGUAAUUAGCCUCGUUCCAUUUUGUUUUCUCUUGUGAUAAUGUUAUGGAUGGAUGGUAGUGCAUAGCUUAUGACUUACUGAGUUAUAAACUCACUCGGUGUUUCCUUGUCACCCAUUAUAGGUUGCUUGGACUCAUCUAUUUUUGCGGGGUCGGGCCGUCAUCGAAGUCAUCACACCGGAUAGCAAGUUUUGGUACUUUCUUCUUAGUUGGAUUAGAAGAACAUUUUGGCAUGUAUAAGCUAUUACGUUGUGUUUGAACUUUGGCAUGUAAACUUUAAGCCAUGCGAAAAUGGCACGAAUGUUCGAUUGAGUUGGAUCAAGGGUAGGCAUGAAAUGGGCCUAGAUACUUUCGUAACAGAUGCUGGCAGCAGCAGUGUCAUGAGAUUGAAAAAUCACUAAAAAUAGUAGGAGUGGAAUUAAUUGACGAAUAAAUUAUGUAAUCGAAGCUCGAUGAGUCUGUUUUCAUGAGGAAGUAACGAAAAGAUCAUAUGGGCAGUAUAUUGAGAGAUAAUCAGAUUUUUGUGGGACAGGGCCAGAACGGUUUCUGGAUUCCCUGCUCCGACUUUGGAAAUUCAUUAUAAAUUAACCAGAGAUAAUUAGGGGUUGUACCAUAUAUUUACAGAUUCCUCUCUGAGUCUAGUUUUCAUAGAAACAAACGGCAUCAGUAUUGGAGCCCUGUGCAGUGAGAUAUCCAAGUCGUAAUGGGCAAAGGUCAGUGUAGUCGACCCCUGCAACAUGGGAGACUUUGACUAAUAAACUGUACUAAUUGGCCCAACCAAAAAUUCUAGAAAAAAAUACAUAGAUGGGCACAUGAGUCUAGUUUCUGGGAAAAAUCACGAAACUGAUUUUCGAGUUAUGAAACUCAAGAUAUGAUUUUUAGAACGACUAGUACACAGAUUGGGCAGUGUCUGGAAAAUAAACUUUAUAAGGGGUUAAAGUCAGUUAACACCUCGUGUUCGACUCCGGUGUCGGUUUCGGGUUCGGGGUGUUACAGAUUCGGUCCUAAAAUUUAUUUGUGACCCACGAGGAGCCGUAUGAGGUGAAAAUCUCAUGUACGGUUUUGGACUAGCGAUGUAAACAGUGAUGUUAUCAUCGACUAUAAUUAUCUAAUAGUUCAAGUACAGUUGAUAUAGUUGAGGCGCAAUCAAAAUAUGGUUUUUGGGGAUGGAAUUUGUGGCGUCAGCCAAUAGGGUUUAUCAUUUUUCUAAUUUCUUCUCUAGUAGAAUGCGAGAGAUUACCUUUUGAUUUACCAGAAGCGGAGGAAGAAUUAGUAGCAGGGUAUCAAAUCGAAUAUUCAGGUAUCAAAUUUGGUUUAUUUUACGUUGCUUCCUAUCUAAAUCUAUUACUUUCUUCGUUAUUUGUAACAGUUCUUUACUUGGGGGGUUGGAAUACUUCCAUUCCGUACGUAUUCGUCCCCGAGCUAUUUGAAAUAAAUAAAAUAAAUGGAAUCAUUGGAACGACAAUUGGUAUCUUUAUUACAUUAGCUAAAACUUAUUUGUUUUUGUUUAUUUCUUUCGCAACACGAUGGACUUUACCUAGGUUAAGAAUGGACCAAUUAUUAAAUCUCGGGUGGAAAUUUCUUUUACCCAUUUCUCUCGGUAAUCUAUUAUUAACAACUUCUUUCCAACUUCUUUCACUGUAAAGAAAAAAAGAAUAUGAGAUUCAUGACUUGGUUCAAACAAGAGAAAGAAACAAACAUAAAAUUAUUCAUAGAUAUUCACGAUAUGUUCCCUAUGGAAACUGGGUUCAUGAAUUAUGGCCACCAAACAGUCCGAGCAGCAAGGUACAUUGGUCAAGGUUUCAUGAUUACCUUAUCCCACGCAAAUCGUUUACCCGUAACUAUUCAAUAUCCUUAUGAAAAAUUAAUCACAUCAGAGCGUUUCCGUGGACGAAUCCAUUUUGAAUUUGAUAAAUGCAUUGCUUGUGAAGUAUGUGUUCGUGUAUGCCCUAUAGAUCUACCCGUUGUUGAUUGGAAAUUUGAAACGGAUAUUCAAAAAAAAUGAUUGCUUAAUUACAGUAUUGAUUUCGGAAUUUGUAUAUUUUGUGGUAACUGCGUUGAGUAUUGUCCAACAAAUUGUUUAUCAAUGACUGAAGAAUAUGAACUUUCUACUUACGACCGUCACGAAUUGAAUUAUAAUCAAAUUGCUUUAGGCUGUUUACCAAUGACAGUAAUUGACGAUUAUACAAUUCAAACAAUUUUGAAUUCAAUUCAAAGAAAAACUCAGUAAGUAAACCUCUUGUUCUAUUAAAGUAAAGAGAAAUUUCCCAUUCAUUCUUUUAAGGUUCCAUUUUGGUUUAAGUUAAAACACUAUUUGGUUUGAAUUAAAAAAAGAAUGAGGCAUUUGGUCAAUAAAUAAUAAUUCAAUUACAAAUUAACAGGUUGAUAAGAAUUUCAGAUUCCUUUUUAUUGAAAAUUAAAAUAUAUUAAUAUAUUCGUAAUUAUUUCGAAAUAUAUAGUUUCAAAUAACAAAAUACCCUUUUCUUUUGAACAAAAAAGAAUAAAAAACGAAACUAUCCAAUAAUUGUGCUUAGAGCAAUUCACGCCUAAUAGAUUAGGAUUUUAUUCAAUUAGGAACGUAUCAUAAAAAAAAUUCCUGGUCGGGUCAAUAAGAUCAUGAAAAGCAUUUCAAUUUAUUUAUCUCUUAUUUUACACAGAAUGGAUUUGCCUGGACCAAUACACGAUUUUCUUUUAGUUUUUCUGGGAUCGGGUCUUAUAUUAGGAGGCCUGGGAGUGGUAUUACUUACCAAUCCAAUUUAUUCUACCUUUUCAUUGGGAUUGGUUCUUGUUUGUAUAUCCUUAUUUUAUAUUCUCUCAAAUUCUCAUUUUGUAGUUGCUGCCCAGCUCCUUAUUUAUGUGGGAGCCAUAAAUGUUGUAAUCCUAUUUGCUGUGAUGUUCAUUAAUGGUUCAGAAUAUUAUAAAGAUUUUAAUCUGUUGACCAUUGGAAUGGCCUUACUUCGUUGGUUUGUACAAGUAUUCUUGUUUUGCUAAUUACUACUAUAUUAGAUACAUCAUGGUACGAGAUUAUUUGGACUACAAGAUCAAAUCAAAUUAUAGAACAAGAUUUGAUAAGUAAUAGUCAACAAAUUGGAAUUCAUUUAGCAACCGAUUUUUUUCUUCCAUUUGAAUUCAUUUCAAUAAUUCUUUUAGUUGCUUUGAUAGGUGCAAUUGCUGUGGCUCGUCAGUAAUAAAUCUUUCUAACUAGGAAUAGCAAGCAAUCAAAAUGAAACCUUUUUCUGUUUUUUCUAUCUUAUCGCAUCCAAUCAUUUCAACAAAAUGAAUAUUGCUCGUGUAUAAAAUAGAAAUUCGUUGAUUCGAUAUAUUUCCAAUAGAUUCUUUUUUUUUGUUAUACUCUAGUCAAUCAAAUCUGUUGAAUUAUUGUUCAUAUUAAUAAUGAAUCGAAAUUGAUAAGGAGUUGGUCAAUGAUGCUCGAACAUAUACUUGUUUUGAGUGCCUAUUUAUUUUCUAUCGGUAUUUAUGGAUUGAUCACGAGUCGAAAUAUGGUUAGAGCCCUUAUGUGUCUUGAACUUAUACUGAAUGCGGUUAAUAUAAAUUUUGUAACAUUUUCUGAUUUUUUUUUAUAGUCGGCAGUUAAAGGGAAAUAUUUUCUCAAUUUUUGUUAUAGCUAUUGCAGCCGCUGAAGCAUCUAUUGGAUCAGCUAUUGUGUCCUCGAUUUAUCGUAACAGAAAAUCAACGCGUAUCAAUCAAUCAACUUUGUUGAAUAAGUAAUAUUAAUAAUAUUAAAUUAUAAGAUUCACCAAUUUGAAUUAGGAAGUACAAUAUGUUGGAAUCUACAUCAUGUUUUCGAAAACAUAAGAAAUCAAAGUAUCUUGGUCCUUUCUUAUGAGUUGAUCCCGAAGGAAAUUGAUUAGAAAAUUUCUGGUAAAUCGUUGAUUCAUCUGGUGUUUAACUAUAUUUAUUUACAAUUUUACUAGAUUGAAAUUUUAUGAUGUUCAAAAAUUUAUAGAUCCCAUGUCACAUUCAGUAAAAAUUUAUGAUACAUGUAUUGGGUGUACUCAAUGUGUCCGAACCUGAUACGAUCCUCCUCGGAAGAGUCGAGUCGUAUUAGUGUGCCCGAUCGUCAACAAGAAGUUACAUUGGGUUUAAUUGAAAAGGUCGGAUGAAGGAAGGAAGGAUAUUGGUUUUGGGUUCGGAUUAGAAUAGGUAAGAAGGAUUUGAAAGUUUGGGUUUGGAGCCCGAAUAGGUAUGGAUGAAGGAAUUGGUUCAAUUAGGUAAGGGGAAAUUGAAGAAAUGGAAUAGUCGGUUUAGGUACAAUUGGUAAAUGGAGAAAUGGGGUUGAACAAAAAGUACAAACAAGAACCAAUACCGAUUUGGUAUCGACCCGUUGUUUAUAAGCUCUUUUAGUUCGGUUUGGAAUUGGUAAAUGAAAACCUCGACCCACUAUCUAACAAGAUAGGAACCUCGGUAUGUUUGAACGCCACACUACGAGUAGUGAUAAGUUCGGUUUCGACAAAGAACAACGGUUGACACACUAGACGCUAGGAAGCCAAUCGAAUCUUUGAACGAAAUUUGAGAAAAAGUUUUGCCUAACAAAUUCGGCAGCAUAACAUUAACAAAAGUCUCAAAAGUUCUUUACAUGAAAAAAAUAACAAGUAUUUAUAGGCCUAAAGUCUAGGUAGCCGAAUGGCUUUUCAUGCUUACAAAUUAAGUAAAAGAAAAUUCUAGAAAAUUAAUCCUUAAUGUGCAUGACUAGAUUCUGCUAUGGAACAUGAAUUGUGAAUGCUUCACGUUUAAGAAAUGACAAGUGAAUGAAUGAAGCUCCAAGGGACACUUGCUAGGUUCGGCCUCCCUUGUUUAAUAAGCAAUUAAGUGGCAACCUUUAGCCAAAAAUCAUGAAUUAAAUGGUGUAACUCCAAGGGCCAAAAUAGGUGUGAAUGCCGUAACUUGAAGAGUCCAUAGGUGUGAACAUGGUGAACCAAAAGGACUUGUUGUGUGAACACAAUGUGAACGGAAUGUAAAGGUUCAUGGAGAAAGUCAUUCGGCCAACCAUCUCAUGCAUGUAUUAUGUCCCUUUGACCGAAUAGUCACUUGUGUAGAUGAAGAGGUAGCACAACAUUCAUGGCUCUUGGUCAUUCAUGAACCUUGGGAAUUAAUGUACCUUGCCAUUCAUGCAUUCCACCAAUUCAUGCAUCUUGAGUGUCCAUGCACCCUCCAAAAGACAUGUUGCUUCAAGGUCCAUACAUCCAUUGAGUUUCUACAAGAAAAUGUGAACAGAAUUAAUUCAAGCUAAUGUGAACAUAAAUGUAAACAUUAAAUUCGGUUAUGACAAUUUAAUUAAUAUCAAUAAACACUUUUAAGACAUAUUUAAUAAAACUAAUGUGAACUAAAUUUAAUAUGUGGUUUAUUAAUUAACUAAUUAAUGAAAUUAUUAAAUAAAAAUUUAAUAGCAGUCAAAUGAAGUCAAAGUAGUCUUCAUGAGCUAGAAUUCAACUUAUGAGCUAAAACCGAGCUGGACUUGGACCCAUGAGCUGGUACUGAGCUGGACCCGAGCUCGGGAACUGGAAGUGAGCUGGUGGCGAGCUCGAUGAGUUGAGCUGGACUUGCAGGUAGUUGCAUGGUGAGCUCAAGGAACUGGAAUCAGCUUUCUCGGAGCGUCCUAAUGGCGUUUCAAUCCAAAGUUGAGCUACAAAAGCUGUGAUGGACUCCUUAAACUUCUUGGCUUGAGCUCGAGUAACAAGACCUUGUGGUAGCACCAUAGAAUCCUCGCUCGAACUAGCUGAACCAUGGGGCGCGAUCACAUCAUUCCCCCCUCUUCAAAACGACUUGUCCUUAAGUUAAAAUCUGCAUUAAAAGGGGUUAAAUCUGACACAUUAAAAGUAGCGCUGACAUUAUAAUCUCCUGGCAAGUCAAUUUUAUAAGAAUUUUCAUUUAUUCGCUCUAAAACUUGAAAAGGACUGAUACGAACUGUCUCAAGAAGAGUCGAGUCGUAUGUAGAUUGCCCGAUCGUCUACGAGAAGUUACGUUAGGAUUAGUUGAGUUGAAGGUAUAGUCAGAGUAGAAAGAGGGGUACGAAUGGAAUGGUCGGAACGAAAGGGUAGGAACAAAAUGGUAUGAACAAAUUGGUCGGUUUAGGUUCGAUUAGGUAAAGAAGAAAGAACGGGUUUGAACUACUAAAGGUACUUUCAAGAACCAAAUAUCGAAAUGGUAUCGACCCGUUGAUUUAGCCUUUUGAGUUCGAUUAUAGGUUUGGUAAGGGAAACCUCGACCCACUAUCUAACAAGAUAGGAACCUCGGUAUGUUGAAUGCCACACUACGAAUAGUGAUAAGUUCGGGUACGACAAAGAACACGGUUGACACAACUAGAACGCUAGGAACGCCAAACGAAUCUUUGAACGAAAUAUAAGAAAAGUAUGCCUCACAAUUUCGGCAGCAUAACAUUAACAAAAGUUUCAAAAGUCCUUUACAUGGAAAUUGAAUAAGUAUUUAUAAGCCUAAGUCUAGGUAGCCGAAUGGCCUUUCAUACUUACACAUUAAUUAAAAGAAAAUUCUAGAAAAAUAACUCUUAAUAUGCAUGACCAGAUUCAGUUUUGGGAAUGGUGGAUGAAUGCAUCUUCAUGCUUAAGAAAACUCAAAGUGAAUGCAUGAUAUCCAAUGGUCACUUGUAGAUUCGGCCAACCUUGUUAAAUGAAGCAAUGUUUGGCCAAAAAGUAUGAAUUAAUUGUGGACACUCCAAGGGCCAUCAUGUGUGUGAAACCGAAUGUUGAAGAGUCUUCUAGUGUGAACAAGGUGAACCGAAUGGUCUUGCCAUGUGAACAUAGGUGUGAACGAAUUAAGGAGAGUCAUGGGGAAGCUAAUUGGCCAAGCUAUCUUCAUGCAUGUGUGAGUGCCCUUUGGCCAAAUGGUCACCUUGGAGAAUGAAGAGAUAGCACACCAUACAUGAAUGGAAACAUUCAUGAACCUUAAAGACAUUGAAUAUGGUCAUACAUGCACUUGGCCGAACAUGCACCUAAGAGAUUCAAGCCCCCCAACCGUCCAUGCACCUUCAAAAUUCAUGCUUGCUUUUAAUCUCCAUAUGUCCAUUGCGUUCCUACAAGAAAUGUGAACAUAAUUAAUUCAAACUAAUGUGAACACAAAUAUCAACAUUAAAUUCGGUUAUGACAAAUUUAAUUAUCAUCAAUAAACACUUUUAAGACAUACUUAAUAUAUAACUAAUGUGAACUAAAUUUAAUAUGUAGGAUAUUAAUUAACUAAUUAUUGAACUUAUUAAUUAAAAAGUCAAUAGUAGUCAAAUGAAUUCAAAGUGAACUCCAUGAGCUGAUGGUUAAUUCAUGAGUUAAACCCGAGCUGGGCCUAAACUCGUGAGCUGAUAAUGAGUUGGUCCCGAGCUAAUGAGCUGGUGUGGAGCUGCAUGGGAGCUAACUUGAACUGAAGGUGAGCUUGGUGAGCUGAAAUGAACUUGUAGAAAAGUUUGGCAUGGAUUUCCAAAAUGGCCACUAACUGGUUCGAUAGGUCUAGCAUUAACAUCAUCCCACACAUGCUGAACUAAAGCUAUAACAGCUUCUUUAAAUUGUUUUGCACGAGCCCUUGUGAUCGACCCUUGAGGUAGCACCAUCGAAUCUCGGCUUGGACUUGGCUUAUGGGAAGCCGUGAUCGUAUGAUCCUCCCCCUCUUGAAAAUGACUUGUCCUCAAGUCAGUAUCUACAUCGAAAGGAGUCAAGUCAGAGACAUUAAAACUAGCACUAACAUUGUACUCACCUGGUAAGUCAAGCUUAUACAAAUUUUCAUUGAUUCGCUCGAUGACUUGGAAGGGGCCGUCUCCUCGCGGCAACAACUUAGAUCUUCAUUGAGUCAGAAACCUUUCUUUUCUCAUGUGCACCCAGACCCAGUCUCCGAGUUCAAAUACAACUCGUUUUUGUCCUUUGUUGGCUCGUUGGACGUAUUGCUCGGUUCGAGAUUCAAUAUUCUCUCGGACUUUCCUAUGUAAUUCCUUGACAAAUUCAGCCUUUUUCCUUGCAUCUGUAUGGACAAAUUGAUCAACAGGAAAAGGUAAUAAGUCAAGAGGAGUAAGAGGAUUAAAUUCAUAGACAGUCUCAAAAGGAGAGAAUUUGGUUGCCGAGUGAACAGAGCGAUUAUAAGCGAACUCGAUGUGGGGUAAGCAUUCUUCCCACGUCUUGAGGUUCUUUCGUACCAAUGCUCGCAACAACUUUGACAAAACUCGGUUUACCACCUCAGUUUGGCCAUCCGUUUGGGGAUGACAAGUGGUUGAAAACAACAACUUCGUCCCAAGUUUUCCCCAUAAUGUCCGCCAAAAGUGACUCAAGAACUUUGUAUCUCGAUCGGAAACAAUCGUUCUUGGUAAUCCAUGCAGUCGUACAAUUUCCCUAAAAAACAAAUUAGCAAUAUACACAGCGUCAUCAGUUUUAACACAAGAAAUAAAAUGUGACAUUUUAGAGAAUCUAUCGACUACAACAAAGAUUGAGUCCUUCCCUGUCUUAGUUUUCGGUAAUCCAAGAAUAAAAUCCAUAGAGACAUCGGUCCACGGGGUGUCAGGAAUGGGAAGUGGUGUGUAAAGUCCAUGUGGUUGGACCUUCGACUUAGCCCGUUUACAAAUUAGGCAGCGUUCACAGAUCCGCUCCACGUCUCUCUGCAUUCGCGGCCAGUAAAAAUAUUCAUGGAGGGUCGACAAUGUCUUGCUUAUUCCAAAGUGUCCCAUUAGGCCACCACUAUGCGCCUCCAACACAAGUAACUCUCGAAUGGAGCCUUGUGGUAUACACAACCUAUUUUCUUUAAAAAGAAACCCUUCGUACCUGAAAAAUUUCUCAAAAGACCCAUUUUCACAAGCAGCAUAUAUAUUUCCAAAAUCCUCAUCAUUAGCAUACAACUCUUUCAUAUGAUAAAAACCAAGUAACUUAGAAUCAAGAGUUGUCAAUAAGGUAUAUCUCCGUGACAAGGCAUCAGCCACUACAUUUUCUUUACCUUUCUUGUAUUUGAUGACGCAGGGAAAUGAUUCUAAAUACUCGACCCAUUUCGCAUGUCGUUUGUUGAGUUUAUGCUGACCUUUAAUAAACUUAAGUGCUUCAUGAUUGGAAUGAAUCACGAACUCCUUCGGUCUUAGAUAGUGCUGCCAAGUUUCAAGUGAUCGAAUCAAGGCAUACAUCUCUGUGUCAUACACCGAAUAAUUGAGGGAAGCGCCACUUAAUUUCUCACUGAAGUACGCCACCGGUCUUUCGUCUUGGGUCAACACAGCCCCGAUCCCUACACCUGAAGCGUCACACUCAAUUUCAAAUGUUUUAGUAAAAUCUGGAAGUGACAAUAGAGGAGCUUUCACAAGACAUUCUUUAAUCAAAUUAAAUGAAUGUUCUUGAUCUUCAGACCAGUGAAAUGCGGAGUUUUUCUUAAUCACACUUGUUAAGGGUGCAGCAAUGGUACUAAAGUUGGGCACAAAUCGACGGUAGAAGCUAGCCAAUCCAUGGAAGCUUCGAACUUGGCUAAUGUUCAUUGGACGCGGCCAUUCUUGAAUCGCUUGAACUUUUUCUUAACCCACCUCCAAACCGUUGGCACUCACGACAUAACCUAAAAACACAACUUUAUCAGUGCAAAAUGAACACUUUUUGAGAUUAGCAUACAAUACCUCUUUUCGUAAAGUUUCCAACACCGCUCGUAAAUGUGGUACGUGCUCCUCUAAAGUUUUGCUGUAGACCAAGAUAUCGUCAAAGUAUACAACACAAAAUUUACCAAUAAACGCACGUAAUACAUGGUUCAUCAAUCUCAUAAAAGUGCUAGGGGCAUUUGUAAGGCCGAAUGGCAUUACCAACCAUUCGUAAAAACCCAAUUUCGUUUUGAAGGCCGUCUUCCAUUCAUCACCUUCUCGCAUUCGUAUUAGAUGAUAGCCACUUUUAAGAUCGAUUUUCGUGAAAAUCUGGGCUCCACUUAAUUCGUCAAGCAUGUCAUCAAGACGGGGUAUCAGGUGUCGAUACUUGAUAGUGAUUUUGUUGAUGGCGCGACAGUCCAUGCACAUCUGCCACGACCCAUCUUUCUUGGGUACAAGCAGCACCGGCACCGCACAGGGACUUAAGCUCUCUCGGAUGUAUCCUUUGUCUAGGAGUUCAGUAAUUUGCUUUUGCAAUUCUUUCAUUUCUUCGGGAUUACUCCGAUAAGUAGGAUGGUUGGGUAGUGCAGCUCCGGGUACUAAGUCUAUUUGAUGUUCGAUGCCUCAGAUAGGGGGCAGCCCACUUGGUAUUUUGUCCGGAAAUAUGUCUUCAAAUUCCUGAAUCAAAGACAAUACAGAAGCAGGCAAGUUUUUAGGUAACUCGUUAGUAUUCAACAAUGCCUCCUUGUACAUAAAUACAUACAUAGGCUGUCUCAAAAACAUCGCCCGCCGGAUAUCACUAACCCUCGCAAACACACGCAUUUUUCCACUUUCUUUUUCCUUUUUCCUUGUUUUUGUUUCUUUUCAUUUUCUCUCACAUUUUUAGUCUUUUCUCUCUCUUUUUCCUUAAUUUUCUCUUUUGCACUCUUUUCUUUUUCUCUCGCUUGUUCCACUGAAAGUUUAAGUUUUUGUUGAUCCUCGUACACUUGCUUCGAAGUGAGGGGUGCAAGUGUCACGUUCUUGCCAAGAUGUUUGAAGGAGUAUCUAUUAGUGUAACCAUCAUGCAUCACCCGUCGGUCGAACUGCCAUGGUCGUCCUAGAAGAAAAUGGCCCGCGUGCAUUGGCACUACAUCACAUAAUACUUCAUCAGAAUACUUCCCGAUGCUAAAGGACACUAGGACUUGUUUUGUCACUUUGAAUUCACCACCAUCGUUAAGCCACUGGAGCUUGUAUGGAUUCGAGUGCUUGGUGGUUGACAGCCCUAACUUUUCCACCAUGAGGGUGCUUGCCACGUUUGUGCAACUCCCUCCAUCGAUUAUGAUGCUACACAUUUUCCCUUGCACUUGACAUCUCGAAUGAAAAAUGUUCUCACGUUGUUGUUCGUCUUCCACACUUUGAAGACUUAGGCUUCGCUUGAUGACGAGUAACUCACCUUCAACGGGUUGUUCUAAGUCCUCCUCAACUUCGGAAUUCGAUUCAGUAUUGUUCUCUUCCUCGUCCUCCUUUUCAAUCUCACCGUCGGCCCUUAUCACCAUGGUACGUCUAUUCAGGCACUGACUCGCUAUAUGUGCACGACCAAGAAAGUUGAAGCACUUUAUGUCCCUUGAACGGGCGGUGGAACUUUCAGGAGCCUUACCUUUACUUGACUCAGCAAUAGGCUUAUUCGCCUUAGAUAUUAUUGAAGAAUCCUUCGUUCGAUUUGUUGGAAAACCCUUGCUUGUGCUUUGGCCCCAUUUAGAAGGAUUGGUGUUAGGAUAGGCUCGGGUGGUACCUUUUCACUUCAACUGCUUCUCCACUUUGAUAGCCAUGUGGACCAUGUCCACAACCUCAAUGUAAUGUUGCAGUUCUACGACAUUUGCAAUCUCUCGAUUAAGUCUGGCUAGAAAGCGAGCCAUUGUGGCUUCUCGAUCUUCUUGUACAUCGGCACAGAUCAUAGCCACUUCCAUUUCUUUAUAAUAAUCUUCCACACUCUUCAUCCCUUGGAUGAGAUUUUGGAGUUUUUGAUGCAACUCCCGAUGAUAGUAGGAUGGAAUGAAUCGUCGUCGCAUAACCGCCUUCAUUUCGGUCUAAGUGGAAAUGGGAUGCUCCCCGUUACGCCUUCGACUAGUGGUCAACUGAUCCCACCAUAUCAUUGCGUAAUCUGAAAACUCAAUUGCGGCGAGUUUGACUUUCUUAUUUUCAGAGUAGUUAUGACAUUCGAACACUAGUUCGAUUUUCUUCUCCCACUCAAGGUAUGCCUCGGGAUCAGAUUUACUUUGGAAAGGAGGGAUGGAGAGUUUGAUAUUCUUCAAGUCAUCAUCUUCCCGCCUUCGAUCUACUUGUCCACGGUUUCGAGGACGUCUCCUUUCUAGGCUUAUGUUAGACCCGUGAUCACUUUCAUCUUCACUAUUUUCAUUAACAACAUCAUCUUAAACCCUUGGUUGUCUUCGUCGUUGAUCGGGCCCUUCACGUCUUUCCUAGCAACUUCAGGAUAUUCAUCGCGUUGUCUUUGGGCCUCGACUUGGUAGAGUCGAUCUUCAAGAGGAUUAAGCCUUCGAUCAUGUAAUCGUUCCAUCUCACGCAAAAGGGCUUGCAUUUGCAAAUCUGGAACGUUUCUGACGGGUUGUCGCCCUUGUUGUUCUUCCAUGUUUUGUCCACUAUUUUGGGACAUCUAUUCGUUUAAGAUAGCCUCACAAACAAAUCCUCUCAAUCCGCUCAAAAAGAAAGAGCUUGAUGACACUCACACUCAUGUUUACACUCUUAGUUCGGCUUUUACCUCCCCUCGAAUGCGCUCACGCUCUCUUGCCUUUUACCUCUCUUGACUUUUCUCGUAAUUUCGUAAGCGUCCUUGGUCUAGGUGGUCGGUUCAAAAGGGAUAGCAAGUGAUUGAUGUAUUCGAUAUAGGGUAGGCUGAAAGAAUAGGGAAUUGGGUAAAAAAUGUGGCGAAUUAGGGAGAGUAGAAUAGAAGAAGGGUCGGGAACUAUAUCAGAUCAAAGCUUGACGAUCAAAUAACAAUUGAUUUGCAUAAAUCACUCUUUUUUUCGAUUUUUUUUAUUUUUUUUUGAAUUUUUUUUGAUUUUUUUUAACUUGUAUAACUUUUUUUGUUGUACUAUAUCGACAAGCUAAAUACAAUAAAAACACUUUUGUACAUGAUUUUUUUUCUUCAGCUGCGUAGAUUUUUGUUUUUAUAGCAACAAUAACAAACUAAUCGAAAUGAGAAAACUUCAGUAUACAAAUUUUUUUUUCUGAACCUACCUCGGGAAUGCUCCGCUUCGAACAUCUAAGCUUCUCGUUUUGGUAGCUUUGAUACCAGAUGAUACGAACCGUCUCGAGAAGAGUCGAGUCGUAUGUAGAUUACCCGAUCGUCUACGAGAAGUUACGUUAGGAUUAGUUGAGUUGAAGGUAUAGUCAGAGUAGAAAGAGGGGUACGAAUGGAAUGGUAGGAAUGAAAGGGUAGGAACAAAAUGGUAUGAACAAAUUGGUCGGUUUAGGUUCGAUUAGGUAAAGAAGAAAGAACGGGUUUGAACUACUAAAGGUACUUUCAAGAACCAAAUACUGAAAUGGUAUCGACCCGUUGAUUUAGCCUUUUGAGUUCGGUUAUAGGUUUGGUAAGGGAAACCUCGACCCAAUAUCUAACAAGACAGGAACCUCAGUAUGUUGAAUGCCACACUACGAAUAGUGAUAAGUUCGGGUACGACAAAGAACAUGGUUGACACAACUAGAACGCUAGGAACGCCAAACGAAUCUUUGAACGAAAUAUAAGAAAAGUAUGCCUCACAAUUUCGGCAGCAUAACAUUAACAAAAGUUUCAAAAGUCCUUUACAUGGAAAUUGAACAAGUAUUUAUAGGCCUAAGUCUAGGUAGUCGAUUGGCCUUUCAUGCUUACACAUUAAUUAAAGAAAAUUCUAGAAAAAUAACUCUUAAUAUGCAUGACCAGAUGAUGUGAUCCGGCCCGGAUUAAUUGAGUCGUUUCACGUAAUUGCCCGAUCGUCGACGAGGAAUAGUUAAGUUAUCGAAAAUAGGAUGAAAUAAGGCUAAAGAUGCGGAAGCUUUCAAAUGGUUUUAAAGGUUGGCUAAGGUGAUGGUAAAUUUAUAAGGGUAGUAGGCUCGAUUUAAGGAUAAAAAUAAGAAAAAUGGAAGUUGAUAAAUGAAGGCUCGGUUUUGUAAAAAGAUAUUAUAGUUGGGUAAAAUCUAGGAUAGUCGGUGGAAUGGAUAAAUGAGCUUAAACGCCAGAAACGAUUCAACACUAAAAAGUGUCACCCCGAUUUCUAUUCGGUUCAAGGUGGGAUUGCAGAAUUGUAGAAGGGUUGAACGCCACACCAAAGCAAGGUGAUAAGUUCAAAAGAGAAUGAUAGACGCCACUAGCACGCUAGAUAAGUCAGAUCGAAACUCGUACGAAUUUAGAGAGGAGAAAACUCACUCUUUGAACAAAGUUCAUUCAAAUGAUCCAAAAGUCAAAAGUCCUUUACAAAUGAAAUCAACAAACUAUUUAUACUAGUUUCUUAUGCUAACCGAAUAGUCCAUUCAUGAACUUAAUGAUUAAGUAAUGAACCUAAAUUAAGACAUGAACCUUCUAGAAAAAUGACCAAUGGUGUCCUUAUCCAUGUUCGGCCGAAUGGGAGAUGAAUGGGCAGCUUCAUGUAUGAGCAAACUUUGGAAGCCAAUGGGAUGCAUGAAACUCCCAAAGGGUGUCUCUUGACCGAAUAGGUGCUUAGGAAACUCCAAGGGUCCUCCCACAUGCAUCGAUUGUGCAUGGAACUUGGAAGGGGCCUUGAACCUAGCCAUACAUGCACUUGCAUUGAUUACCCCCCAUUCAUGCAUGUGUGCCGUCCAAGGGAGAUGCACCUUUCAAUAUGCAUUAACCUUCCAUGUACAUGAAUGUAUGUCCUCCAAACAUUGAACCGGUCCAUGCAUGUAUCCUCCCGUUCAAUUAACUUUCCCAUGGACCUUGCAUUAAAUGCCAUGAAUGUAUCUUCCAAAUUCGGCUAACCUACAAAAGUAAAUAACAUAAUUAAAUAACACACAACUAUUCAUAUAAUUAUAAUUUAAAAUAAUAACUAAAUAACUUAAUAUCACUAACUAAAUUUGAACACAAUAAUUAUAAGUCAACUUAUAAUAAAUUCAGGUAGCUCAAAAAUAGUCAAAACACUUAAUGAGUUGAAAUUGAGCUAGGGGUUUCGGCAUGAGCUGUAGCAAACUUAAUUAUAAACUAAAUUAAGACUUAGUUUAUUGAAAGAAAGAAAGAAGGAGCUGAAAGUAAGCUCGGUUGAGCUCAAACGAGCUGAAACAAGCUCAAAUGAGCUGAGUUGAGCUGGACGGUGCUCGAGGAGCUAGAAAUGAGCUAGGAUCAGCUUGCCAGCAAUGCACGGGUCCUUUGGAUAGUUGCUUCAAGCUGAUUUUGUGAGCUUUGGCCCUUGUUUCGAACCAAGGUUUUGCAUUAGAAGCUAAAAUAGCUUCUAGGAAAUGUUUAGCAUAAGCUUAGAACCAAGGUUUGCACUCGAGGAUGCCCCGGGCGUGCUCACAUCACCAGAUUCAGUUUUGGGAAUGGUGGAUGAAUGCAUCUUCAUGCUUAAGAAAACUCAAAGUGAAUGCAUGAUAUCCAAUGGUCACUUGUAGAUUCGGCCAACCUUGUUAAAUGAAGCAAUGUUUGGCCAAAAAGUAUGAAUUAAUUGUGGACACUCCAAGGGCCAUCAUGUGUGUGAAACCGAAUGUUGAAGAGUCUUCUAGUGUGAACAAGGUGAACCAAAUGGUCUUGCCAUGUGAACAUAGGUGUGAACAAAUUAAGGAGAGUCAUGGGGAAGCUAAUUGGCCAAGCUAUCUUCAUGCAUGUGUGAGUGCCCUUUGGCCGAAUGGUCACCUUGGAGAAUGAAGAGAUAGCACACUAUACAUGAAUGGAAACAUUCAUGAACCUUAAAGACAUUGAAUAUGGUCAUACAUGCACUUGGCCGAACAUGCACCUAAGAGAUUCAAGCCCCCCCAACCAUCCAUGCACCUUCAAAAUUCAUGCUUGCUUUUAAUCUCCAUAUGUCCAUUGCGUUCCUACAAGAAAUGUGAACAUAAUUAAUUUAAACUAAUGUGAACACAAAUAUCAACAUUAAAUUCGGUUAUGACAAAUUUAAUUAUCAUCAAUAAACACUUUUAAGACAUACUUAAUAUAACUAAUGUGAACUAAAUUUAAUAUGUAGGAUAUUAAUUAACUAAUUAUUGAACUUAUUAAUUAAAAAGUCAAUAGUAGUCAAAUGAAUUCAAAGUGAACUCCAUGAGCUGAUGGUUAAUUCAUGAGUUAAACUCGAGCUGGGCUUAAACUCGUGAGUUGAUAAUGAGCUGGUCUCGAGCUAAUGAGCUGGUGUGGAGCUACAUGGGAGCUAACUUGAACUGAAGGUGAGCUCGGUGAGCUAAACUGAACUUGUAGAAAAGUUCGGCAUGGAUUUCCAAAAUGGCCACUAACUGGUUCGAUAGGUCUAGCAUUGACAUCAUCCCACACAUGCUGAACUAAAGCUAUAACGGCUUCUUUAAAUUGUUUUGCACGAGCCCUUGUGAUCGGCCCUUGAGGUAGCACCAUCGGAUCUCGGCUUGGACUUGACUUAUGGGAAGCCGUGAUCGUAUCAAUUUCUUACCAUACUGACCUUUUUUUUUACUCAAUCCAUCUUACCUAUUUGAACCUUUCUCAACCUUUCUUCAACUAUCCAACUCCUUCAACUAAACUUUACGUAACUUCUUGUCGACGAUCGGGCAACUACGAAUAUGACUCGACUCUCCCGAGACGGAUCAUAUCAUUUGGUAUCAGAGCUACUCAAACGAGAAGUACGUACGACAAAAUCAUCCCGAGAAUAGUACAAGUGAAUGAAAGUAAGUAGGAUCCAGAAAAAAAAUAGUAUAAAAAAAUUUUCCGUAUACCGAAGUUUUCUCAUUUUGAUUAAUUUGUUGCUGUUACUAUAAAAAUAAAAAUCUACGCAGCCGAAGAAAAAAAAUCACGUACAAAAGUGUUCCUAUUGUGAUACGAGUCACAAAGGCCCAACCCAAGCUUAAGAAGGUGAUGGGCUCAAAUCAAGAAAAUCAAGAUUCACUUUCUUGUUUUCAAAACAAUCAAGAAAUCGAAUCUUGGCCCAAUUUUGCUAUUCGGAGCGAUUUCAAGAAUCAAGAAAAUCAAGAUUUCAAAUCUUGGAAAUCUUGGUCCAAGAAACCGAAUCUUGCAGCCAAAGCGCGUUGGAUCUCCAUUACGAGCGUCAACGACCCAAUUUCGGUAGGAGAUGGAUCACAAGCCCAAAUUCUUGAAGGCGAGGCCCAAUAACCAAAAUCCAGCCCAAUCAAGAAAUUUCUUCAUACUUAGUUGAAAAUCAGGCCAAAAUGUCAAAGGGCCCAAUUUUUAAACAUCUUACUUGUUUAAUUUAAUUUUUUAAUCUUUAGGAGCAUUACAUGUAAAAUUCGGCCCAAAACAGCCCAUAUAAGUGCAUGGCCGAAUUUACCUUGUUAUUUUAUUAAUUAGGUUUAAUUUUUUUAUUAGUUACUUGUGAGAUUAGGAUUUGUUGGAGGCCUAUAUAAGCAUUGGCCAGCCACCCUUUGUAAAAACAUCUUAUUAUUAUUUUUUCUAUCAAAUUUCAGAUUUGUUGAGUGCAGAAUUUUCUUUGGGGUUUUCUCCAAGAAUUCUCUCUUGAGUUUUCUUUAGAAGUUGUUUUAACAAUCUUUUGAUUGUGGGAGCCAUCUUCAACCUUCUUCUUGCCAUCAAUAUUCUUUGGAGGGGAGAUUAGAGCCGUUUGAAGAGAUUUGUGAAAUCUUUCGGGAUUUCAAGGAUCUUUAGGACUUAUCCUUUAAUUCUUGCUGUUUUCGAUUUCUUUCUUUACUUUUCUUUGCUUAUACUUGUGCCGAUUUCUCAUCUAAUAUUUUGCUGUUCUUGUUUGUUUUCCAGCAUUGAUUAAACUCAAGAUCUCAUCGUUUAAGUUGUUCUCCUAUUGGCAGCACCCAUUCGAACCCAAAAAUCCCCAAUUCCUAGGGUUUGGCCGAUUGGAUUUCUUUCAAUUUGGGAAUCAAUUGUUUGCUGGAAAUUGGGCAUUCUUGGCCGAAUCAAUUCCUUGGCAGAUUCGCAUCUUUUCUUUCUUCUCAAUUUCGUUUGAUUCAUCGUUUCUAUUUCUUUUCUUCUUGCUGCUCUUUUAAUUGAAUUUGGGAAUUUUAAAUUCAAAUCUGAUUCGGUUUAAUCUUAAUCUUUGUUUUUGAUUUCAGAUCUGUUCGUCUAGGAUCUUUCGUAGGAGUUUCUCGUGACUUGGCAACUCGAUCUUGGUCCCCUUGCAUUCCGUAUCAUUUGGUAUCAGAUUUUGGGUGUUUUGGGUGUUCUUGGUUGAUUUCUAAACUGAUCUCUAUUUUUUAAAGCAUAAACAGCAGUUUUACCCAGAAAAAAUGUUCAAAAAAAAUUCAUUUGAGUGGGUAAACGUUGUCCGAUUGAUCUUAAAUUUUACAUACAUGUUUUUGGAACUGUGAUUGAAUAUAAAAAAAUUAUUUCCGCAAACAAAUCAGUCAAAAAAGUCAAAAAAAUCAAAAAAGACGAAAUUCAAUAAAAAUUUACAAAAAGAUUCAGCGGGUUGAAUUUGGUGCCCAAAAUUUCCAGAUAAAAAAUUAAAUAUAUAAGGACACUCCAGAUUUAAUUUCGUGAUUUUUGGAGAUCGGGAACACCUCGAACGAAGUUGUCAAGUUACUCCGCAGUUUUUCAGGUUUUCUGUUUUCAGCAAUUUUUAUUGAUUCUUAGCUGUAGGUUUUCAUUUGUUUACCUUUAUUCUUCCUUUACGUUAUCUAACACCUUCUUGUUUCUUGUGUUAGUAGGAUUUAAACGUGUGCACAACUUCUUCCUCGGUGCAACACGAAUCAAUUGGUGUCUCGUCAGUUUUUGGCAUCCUAGUGCAAAUUAGGAUUCUUUGGUAGUUUGGUUCACACUCUCUAAUUGGUUGAUAUAAACUCUGAUAAAGAACUCACAAGAUUGAAUUCGACCUCAUUGACAAUUUGAUUUUUUCUUUUUGAGUGAUUAACGGUGAGGUUUGAUAACUUUUAUUUUUGAGUGUUGAGUGUUUUGUAGGUUUUAAAAAAAAUGUCUACAGGUGAUAAUAAUAGUGACAUAUUUAAAAAAUUCCAACAACAGUUGGAUGAACAGGCUGCUACUCUUCGAGCUUUGACUGCUACCAUCAAUGAGGUGCAAUUGAAUCAAAAACAUCAAUAUCGAGAUCCAAUUAAGGAAGAUAGGGAUAACCAGCCCCAUAGGUGCAGCCCUCAACGUGUCCCUAGAAUGGAUGAUGAUUUUUAUGAUCGUGGACAAUCAUCUUUGGCAAAACCAAAGAGCGAGCAGCAACGAGAACAUCUCUUUCAUACUCGCUGCCAUGUACAAGGUAAGCUUUGUAGAGUUAUUAUUGAUGGUGAAAGUUGCUCGAACAUAGCUAGCACGACGAUGGUGGAAAAGCUUUGCUUAACCACUACCAAGCAUCCACAACCUUAUCAACUACAAGGGCUUAGCAACGAAGGCCAAUUUAGGGUCACUCAACAAGUGUGCAUUGCCUUUUCUAUCGGUAAGUAUCAAGACGAAGUUGUGUGCGACGUAAUGCCUAUUCAAGCCUGCCAUUUGUUGCUAGGAGAACCAUGGCAACUGGAUCGAAAAGUCACUCACGAUGGUCGUACCAAUAGGUAUUCUUUCAAGCAUCAAGGAAAGAAACUUACCUUAGUGCCGCUCACUCCGGAACAAGUCCAUGAGGACCAAAUCAAACUGAGAAAUUCUGUUAAAACAAGUGAGGAAAAAGAAAAAGAGAAUGAAAAAGAGCAAAAAGAGAUUGAGAGUGAAAAGGAAUGUGAAAACAGAAAAGAAAAUUGAAAAAGAAGUUGAAGAAAGAAGAGAAAAUGAGUUAGAAAAAGAAACAAAAGAAAAAGACGAGGAAAGGCUAGUGAGGAAUGUUUCCACUAACCAAGAUAUGAAUUUUUCUUGUGUUGCUACUUUUCAGGUUCCCGAAAGAUCGAAAGAUAACUUUCAACUUCAAUACCUCUCAAAUGAAAGACGCUUUCAUACGAUCAACUUAGGCAAAGAUGAAAUCACACUACAUGAUCCCGAAGGUAAGCGAGGUAAAGAAAUUUUAGAAACCGAGUCCAGUGCAAAUUUGAAAAUUAUUAAUAAAACUUUUGGUGACUUAGUUCUUAAAAGAUCCCCUCAUUUUGAUCCGAUUAAUUGUUACUCUUCGAUUGUGGUUGAUAAAGUCAUUAUGAAAAGAAGCGUGAUUUGUUAUUCUCUUGAUUUACUUUGUGUAAAAUCCUCGAAUUUGUCCAAAUCUGUUUUGGAGAAUAAGGUAACGAAAUUUUCCAAAUUUGUUUUCAAUUUAUAUUCGUGCCUUAAACAGUUUAUGUGGUUGUACAUGAAGUUUGAGUUCCAUUUGACAAAGGUUAACUCAACAACGGAGAUUCGACUACACUAUGCCCCCGAUGAGCGAAGGUUUGUUUUAAAUGAAAAAGGUAAAAUCGACCAUUAUUCUUUUGCUUAUCAAGGUAAGAUGCUUGAAACCUUUGAAACACUUUUGUACUCCUCGGAUAGCGACAAAGAUCGUGUUGAUGAACACUUAGAUCAAAACGUGCUUGACUGUCCUAUUUUAUUUAUUGAUGAUAAAUCUAUUUUGAUGGUUGAUAAAAAGAUUCUUGUUUUUGAUAAUGCAUGUGUGAGUGAAUCUAUAGACCGUCGAUUAAUGCAUGGUAAUCUGAAUCUAUCCAUUCACAUGCGUUAUACCUGUUCUAUUAUGCUUAUAAUUGGACUACAAGCUUGUUUGUGUUGCUAUUUACUAUUUCAUGGCUAUUCUUUUCAGUGGACUCAAUUGCCAUUAGUCCCGUUCGAUCGAGGAAAAUCGAGUUCAUUUGAUUUUUAGAUUCGAGGACGAAUCUUUUUGAGGAAGGGGGAAUGAUACGAGUCACAAAGGCCCAACCCAAGCUUAAGAAGGUGGUGGGCUCAAAUCAAGAAAAUCAAGAUUCACUUUCUUGUUUUCAAGAAAAUCAAGAAAUCGAAUCUUGGCCCAAUUUUGCUGCUCGGAGCGAUUUCAAGAAUCAAGAAAAUCAAGAUUUCAAAUCUUGGAAAUCUUGGUCCAAGAAACCGAAUCUUGCAGCCAAAGCGCGUUGGAUCUCCAUUACGAGCGUCAACGACCCAAUUUCGGUAGGAGAUGGAUCACAAGCCCAAAUUCUUGAAGGCGAGGCCCAAUAACCAAAAUCCAGCCCAAUCAAGAAAUUUCUUCAUACUUAGUUGAAAAUCAGGCCAAAAUGUCAAAGGGCCCAAUUUUUAAACAUCUUACUUGUUUAAUUUAAUUUUUUAAUCUUUAGGAGCAUUACAUGUAAAAUUCGGCCCAAAACAGCCCAUAUAAGUGCAUGGCCGAAUUUACCUUGUUAUUUUAUUAAUUAGGUUUAAUUUUUUUAUUAGUUACUUGUGAGAUUAGGAUUUGUUGGAGGCCUAUAUAAGCAUUGGCCAGCCACCCUUUGUAAAAACAUCUUAUUAUUAUUUUUUCUAUCAAAUUUCAGAUUUGUUGAGUGCAGAAUUUUCUUUGGGGUUUUCUCCAAGAAUUCUCUCUUUAGUUUUCUUUAGAAGUUGUUUUAACAAUCUUUUGAUUGUGGGAGCCAUCUUCAACCUUCUUCUUGCCAUCGAUAUUCUUUGGAGGGGAGAUUAGAGCCGUUUGAAGAGAUUUGUGAAAUCUUUCGGGAUUUCAAGGAUCUUUAGGACUUAUCCUUUAAUUCUUGUUGUUUUCGAUUUCUUUCUUUACUUUUCUUUGCUUAUACUUGUGCCGAUUUCUCAUCUAAUAUUUUGCUGUUCUUGUUUCUUUUCCAGCAUUGAUUAAACUCAAGAUCUCAUCGUUUAAGUUGUUCUCCUAUUGGCAGCACCCAUUCGAACCCAAAAAUCCCCAAUUCCUAGGGUUUGGCCGAUUGGAUUUCUUUCAAUUUGGGAAUCAAUUGUUUGCUGGAAAUUGGGCAUUCUUGGCCGAAUCAAUUCCUUGGCAGAUUCGCAUCUUUUCUUUCUUCUCAAUUUCGUUUGAUUCAUCGAUUUUAUUUCUUUUCUUCUUGCUGCUCUUUUAAUUGAAUUUGGGAAUUUUAAAUUCAAAUCUGAUUCGGUUUAAUCUUAAUCUUUGUUUUUGAUUUCAGAUCUGUUCGUCUAGGAUCUUUCGUAGGAGUUUCUCGUGACUUGGCAACUCGAUCUUGGUCCGCGCACAUUUCGUAUCAUAUUGUAUUUAGUUUGCUGAUAUAGUACAAAAAACAAGUUAUACAAGUUAAAAAAAUCUGAAAAAAAUUGAAGUGAAAACUUGUUCUAUUGUAAUUUAGUCCCGAUCUUGAAGUCGUUCUUCCAUCUUUUCUUUCUACCAUAACCCAUCGCCACACCAAAACUCGAACUAAUACUUUUUUUUCCUUGUUAGCCUACCCUAAACCGAAUACAUUAGUCCAUUGAUUACUCCUUGAGCCGACCACCUAGACCAAGGUUUAAGCCUAAUGAAUCUGCUUACAAAAUCAUGAGAAAAGUUAAGAGAGGUAAAAAAAAAGAGUUGUGAGCGCAAUAGAGUGAGGUAAAAGCCUAUUCUCGACCAUAAACACGAGUGUGAGUGAAUCAUCUUUCUUUUCUUUUCGAGUGAUUGUGAGGUUUUUUUUUGUGGUGAGGUUUCUCUUUAACAAAUGGCACAAGAAAUCAAUCCCAACAUGGAAGAACGUCCGGCAAGACAACCCGUUCGCAAUGUUCCUGACCUAAACAUGCAAGCUCUAUUACAAGAAAUGGAGCACCUCCUAGACCGAAGGCUCAAUCCUAUUGAAGAUCGAUUAUUCGAAGUUGAAAUGAUAGGUCAGCAUGAAAGAACCCCCGAAGUUGUCAAACAAAGACUGGAAAGGCCAAACCGAAAUCAGGGAAGACGAAGGGUCCAAGACGAUGAAGUAAAUGGCCCCAGCGAUUUUGAAAGUGAACAAGAGUCUGCUGCUAGUAUUCGUCAGAGGGAAUCCCGACAUCGAGAUCGUAGACGAGAAGAUGACGAUCUCAAGAACAUCAAGCUGUCCAUUUCACCGUUCCAAGGUAGAUCGGAUCCGGAGGCCUAUCUUGAGUGGGAAAAAACAUAGAGUUGGUGUUCGAUUAUCAUAAUUACUCCGAGAAUAAAAAGGUGAAACUCGCAGCUAUAGAAUUUUCGGACUACGCCACGAUCUGAUGGGAUCAAAUAACCACUAGUCGAAGGCGAAACAGAGAACGUCCAAUUUUUACGUGGACCGAGAUAAAGGCGGCAUUGAGGCGAUGAUUUAUUCCUUCGUACUACCACCGGGAGUUGCACCAAAAACUCCAAAAUCUCACACAAGGGUCCAAAAGUGUCAAAGAUUACUACAAAGAGAUGGAAAUUGAGAUGAUUCGGGCGGACGCGCAAGAAGAUCCCGAAGCAACGAUGGCGCGAUUCUUGGUUGGUCUAAAUCGAGAUAUCGCCAAUAUGGUCGAAUUACAACACUACCUUGAAGUGGUUGACAUGGUCCAUAUGGCCAUCAAGGUAGAAAAACAACUCAAGCGAAAAGGCCCAAGCCGAGGAUUCUCCACUUCUAACACUUCAAAGUGGAGCCAAAGUUCGAGUAAAGGCCUUCCAGCCUUUCGAGGAAAAGAAUCCACUGCCCCUCAAAAAACCAACAAACCGAAUACCGAAAUUAACAAAGGCAAGGAACUGGAAACAUCGCUCAAUCAAAAUCGGGACAUCAAAUGUUUCAAGUGUCUCGGAAGAGGACACAUAGCCAGUCAGUGUCCAAAUCAAAGAACCAUGGUGUUGUGAGCCGAUGGCGAAGUUGAAACGGAGGACGAAGAAGAGAAAGAAUUUGAAUCAACUUCUAAAGUCGAGGAGGACUUAGAACAGCCCAUGGAAGGCGAAUUACUUGUUGUGAAGCGAAGUCUAAGUCUCCAAGGCACGAAAAAUGAUCUCCAACGAGAAAAUAUAUUUCAUACUCGUUGUUAAAUCGGAGGCAAAGUCUGUAGCGUCAUUAUUGACGAAGGCAGCUAUACCAAUGUAGCAAGUACCAUAAUGGUCGAAAAACUUGGUUUGCCUACUACCAAGCAUCCGAGCCCCUACAAACUUCAAUGGCUCAACGACGGCGGAGAACUUAAGGUAACAAAGCAAGUACUUGUCUCAUUCACUAUUAGUAAGUAUACGGACAAAGUACUUUGCGACGUUGUACCGAUGCAUGCGGGGCAUCUACUCCUUGGUCGCCCGUGGCAAUUUGACCGGCGGGUGCUACAUGACGGGUACACUAAUCGAUAUACCUUCAAGUUCAUGGGAAAGAACGUAACCUUGGCACCAUUAUCUCCCAAACAAGUGUACAAAGACCAAAUGAAAUUAAAAGUUUCUGUCGAACAAAUGAGAAUGAAAGAACAUGAAGAUUGUAAAAAAACAAAAUAAGAAAAAAAUAAGAAAAAGAAAAGAAAAGGAAGAUUGUAAAAAAACAAAAGAAGAAAAAAAUAAGAAAAAGAAAAGAAAAUCGAGAAAUAUAGUGUUUUUGCAAAAGCUAGUGACGUGAGAAAAGCUUUGAUGAUGAGACAACCUGUUCUUGUACUUCUGUAAAAGGAAACUUCAAUUACUACUAACGAUUUGCCCGACACCCUUCCCUCUCCUGUUCUUUCUUUGUUGCAGGAUUUCAAAGACGUUUUCCCGGAAGAAGUCCCAAGUGGUCUCCCACCACUUCGUGGGAUCGAACAUCAAAUAGAUUUUAUGCCGAGAGCUGUAAUCCCAAACUGACUUGCCUACUGAGCCAAUCCAGAGGAAACUAAAGAAUUACAAUGGCAAAUCCAAGAGUUGAUGGAAAAAGGCUACAUACGCGAGAGCCUUAGCCCCUGCGCUAUUCCUGUUCUGUUGGUGUCAAAAAAAGACUGGACAUGGUGGAUGUGAGUUGAUUGCCAAGCCGUCAAUAAAAUUAAAAUCAAAUAUCGUCAUCCCAUUCCUCGCUUAGAUGACAUGUUAGACGAACUUAGUGGAGCCACGGUUUUCUCAAAAAUCGACUUGAAAAGCGACUACCACCAAAUCUGAAUACGAGAGGGCGAUGAAUGGAAAAUAGCGUUCAAGACCAAAUACGGGUUAUACGAGUGGUUGGUUAUGCCUUUUGGUCUUACCAACGCGCCUAGCACGUUUAUUAGGUUAAUGAAUUACGUAAUAAGGUCCUUUAUCGGUAAGUUUUGUGUUGUAUAUUUUAACGAUAUAUUGAUCUAUAGCAAAUCCGUUGACGAGCAUGUAAGAUAUCUGAAAUCUGUUUUAGAAGUUUUGCGAAAAGAGACAUUAUAUGCUAACCUAAAAAAAUGUUCAUUUUGUUUUGAUAAAGUUGUCUUUCUAGGUUUUGUGGUUAGCGCGAAUGGUCUCGAGGUAGAUCAAGAGAAGAUUAAGGCCAUUCAAGAUUGGCCAACACCUAUGACUGUCACUCAAGUUAGGAGUUUUCAUGGACUUGCGAGUUUUUACCGACGCUUCAUACCAAACUUUAGCACUAUCGCUGCUCCUCUUACGAGCGUCAUCAAAAAGAAUUUCUCUUUCCGUUGGAGUGAUGAACAAGAAACUUCAUUUAAUAAAAUUAAAGUUUGCUUAACUAACGCUGAUUUACUUGUUCUUCCAGAUUUUGCGAAGACUUUCGAGAUCCAGUGCGAUGCCUCAGGUGUUGGAAUCAGUGCUAUUUUGACACAAGAGGGCCGACCUGUGGCUUACUUUAGUGAGAAACUCAGUGGAGCCGUACUCAACUAUCCGGUGUACGACAAAGAGAUGUACGCACUCAUACGGGCACUUGAGACGUGGUAAUAUUAUUUGUGGCCAAAGGAGUUCGUCAUACACUCCGAUCAUGAAUCCUUGAAGCAUAUCAAAGGCCAACAUAAAUUGAACCACCGCCGUGCGAAGUGGGUUGAAUAUCUCGAGUCAUUCCCAUAUGUCAUCAAGCACAAGAAAGGUAAAGAUAAUAUAGUGGUCGAUGCGCUUUCGAGAAGGUGUACCUUGUUAUCAUAUUUGGAUUCCAAAAUUCUAGGUUUUGCUUUAUUGAAAGAUUCUUAUGCUAAUGACUUUGAUUUUGGUGAAAUCUAUGUUACUUGCGAAAACGGUGUUUUUGACACUUUUUAUAGGUAUGAGGGCUUCCUUUUGAAGGAAGGUAAAUUAUGCAUUCCCUGCGGAUUUGUUCGAGACUUACUAGUGCACGAGGCACAUAGUGGCGGGCUUAUGGGCCAUUUCAGAAUCAAUAAGACGCUUGCCACUCUCCACGAACACCUCUAUUGGCCACGAAUGCGAAAGGACGUGGAGCGGGUUUGUGAGAGGUGUAUAGCAUGUAAGCAAGCUAAAUCGAAGGUUCAACCCCAUGGCUUAUACACGCCACUGCCCAUCCCUGAAGCGCCGUGGGUCGACAUUUUUAUGGACUUUGUUCUUGGACUACCGCGCAAAAAAACAGGGAAGGACUCUAUCUUUGUAGUUGUUGAUAGAUUCUCAAAAAUGUCUCAUUUUAUUGCCUGUACUAAAACUGACAAUGCUGUACAUGUUGCAAACUUGUUUUUCAGGGACAUAGUAUGACUCCAUGGCAUCCCUUGCACCAUUGUGUCGGAUCGAGAUUGAUACGAGCACGCCUCGCGAACUUUAUCGAGCAAGUCUGUCAAGCCGUGCAAUGACAUGUUGGCAAGCUGAUCCAAGCUCAUUUUCAGCUCCACGAGCUCUGUCCAGCUCAAAUCCAGCUUAUUCGAGCUUAAUCCAUCUUGCCUGAGCUAAACCGAGCUCACUCCUAGCUCACUUUCAACUUAUGAGCUAAACCUUAGCUCAACUUCAGCUUAGGAGUUUAGCCUCAGCUCAACUUUAGCUCACGAGCUAAAGCUUAACGCAUUUUAGUUUAAACUCGGUUUUCUCUUUAAUGCAUUAAAUAAAAAUUUGCACAUAUUUAUUUAAGCAUUAAACUUGUCUUAUAUUAAUAUUUGUUAUUAAUAUGCCAUAGUCAUUACAUAAAUUGAUUAUGUUCACAUAGUUGAAUUAAUGCAUAACAUUAAUGUGUUCACAUCAUGCCGAAUUUAUGAGUGUCCAUGAGAUAUCUUAAUGACUUGUUUAUUUCAUGUAGGUACAUUCCUUUGGAAGGUACAAUGUAUGGAUGAAGAAACAUCUCUUUUGGGCAUUCCACACUCAUGAAUGAAGAAGUAUUAAAUGCUGGUGCAUGUACGGCUAGAUGCAAUGUUUCUACAAAUUCAUGCAUGUGUCGAAUGCAUGUAUGGACAUUAAAGGCUAGUCCAUGAAUGGAUCAAAUGCAUGGGAUGAUAGAAUGCAUUAAUGGCUUAAGUGCAUGUAUGGUGGCUGUCUCCUAACUUUCCAAGGCACUUAUUCGGCCAAGAAGUGGCUGCUAACUAAUUCUAUGUUGACCAUAGAGCUCCUUGAACAUGUUCACACUUUGAAUUGAACUAUAGGCUACUACACAUGCAUGGAUGGGUUCAAGAACGUCCAAGGGAAGGAAUUAACUCAAUAAUUCAACACAUUGAUUGAAUUAAGUGCAUGCACAAAGGAGAGAACAAAUUUACUAGGUUCAUGCUGCCAUUUAUGAACUUACAUGCCAUUAAAGUGUUUAAUUAUGAAGAUACAUGUUUCAUACAAGUGCAUGAACGUCCCAAGGAGAUGAAUGCAACCUUUUGGUGCACAUACAAGUCACUUGAAGCCUUUCUUUAUGACUAAGCAUUCAUGCACAAACCAAGGGGGAAGAAAGUGUCCAUUCAGCUAGUGCAUGAAUCUGCCGAAUUUAUGAACUAUUUUAAUACAUUAGUGUGAACGUUUUUAUUCUUGUGUGAACACCUAGAUGCCGAAUUUGAAUGGUCAUCUAUGUGCCUAUAAAUAUUUGUUUUCUUUCAUUUGUAAAGGACUUUUGCCAAAAUUGUUAAUGAACAUUUGUUCUUGUGAGGUUGCUUCCUCUCAUAUCUCGUACAAGUUUCGAAAGACUUAUCUGGCUUGUGCUAGUGGCGUCAAUCGUCUUGUUUGAACUUAUCACCAAUCUUGGUGUGGUGUUCACCUAUCCAUCUAUCCAUCUUUUCACCUUAACAAUAUAGGAACCGAGGUGACACUUCUUAGUGUUGAAUCAUUCCUGACGUUGAGUUCGUUUUUUCAUUCCCCAUCUUUCAACUUUUCCUUCUUGUAAUCAAACCGACUCAUUUAUCCAUCACCCAUCUUUGGUACACAUAACCGAACCUAUUACUAAACUUACCCUUCUUGAAACCUUCCGCUUAUUCUAAUCCAUUAUUUUACUUUUAUUACUAAAAUCCGAGGCACGAACGACUCUCUCGAACUACGAUCGGGCAACUACGUGAAUUCGACUCAUCUACCCGAGCUGGAUCACAUCAGAAGCUUAUAUUAACUCUUCCAGAUAUUUGUUAUUAAUAUGUCAUAGAUAUCACAUAUCUUAAAUGUGUUCACAUUGUGCUGAAUUUAUGUGUGUUCACAUGAUGUCUUAUGAAUUGUUUUAUUUCUUAUAGGUGCAAUGCUCAUGGACGGCGCAAUGAAUGCUUGAAGAAACAUCUCUUUUGGACAUCCCACAUGCAUGAAUGAACAACAUUUAAUUAGGUGCAUGCAUGACCAGAUUCAAGGUGUUUACAAGUUCAUGUAUUUGUCAAAUACAUGAAUACACAAAAUACAUGAAUGUUUGGGUUCAAAUGCACAUUUGGUUACAUGAAUGAUGAAGAUUCAUGUAACACCCCGUACCCGAGACCGUUGCCGGAGUCGGACACGAGGGGUUCACAGACUAAAUUCGCUUACUAUCGCAGUCCAUUUUAAAUUUUUCCAGACAGCUAGCUAACUGUGUCACUGUCACCUUAAAAAUCAUAUCUUGAGUUUCACAACUCGAAAAUCAGUUUCGUGAUUUUUCCCUGAAACUAGACUCCUAUGUCCAUCUACAUAUUUUUUUCUAGAAUUUUUGGUCGGGAAAAUUAGUACAGUUUAUUAGUUAAAGUCUCCCCUAUUACAGGGUGCGACUACACUGACCUUCAUGCAUUACAAUUUGGAUAUUUCCCUGUACAGGGCUUCAAUACUGAUGACGUUUGUUUCUAUAGAAACCAGACUCAGAUAGGAAUCUAUACAUAUAUGGCAUGACUCCUAAUUAUCUCUGGUUAAUUUAUAAUGAAUUUCCAAAGUCGGAAUAGGGAAUCCAGAAACCGUUCUGGCCCUGUCUCACGAAAACCUAAUUAUCUCUUAACAUACCACUCAUAUGACCGUUUCGUUUCUUCCAUAUGAAAGUGGAUUCAUCAAGGUUCAUUUAAAUAAUUUAUUCAUUAUUUAAUUCUAUUCCUACUAUUUUUAGUGAUUUUCCAAAUCUACAUCACUGCUGCUGUCAGCAUCUGCCUUUAAGGUAGACUUUACCUAUUUCAUAGUUUCCAUGAUUCAACUAGCCCUUUUAGCAUAAAUAGCACAAAUUAUGAUAGUGAUUAACCAUUCCCAUGGCCAAUCCUUGUUAAGCAUAUCCACACCUCUCAAUAACCAUAUCCAUACCAAAUGAUUAUAACAUUAUGCUCAAACAUAUAUAAGCCAUUUUCGCAUGGCUAUCCAAAAUUAUACAAAUCCAAAGGGUCCAUGACCCACUACAAAAAGGGUAGUCCUAUACAUGCCAUUUUCAGAGUUCAACCAAAAGUGUACCAAAAGGGCUUUGAUAGUGUGGGUGACUUCGACUUCAAUAAUCCUGAGUCCGAUAGCUGACGAACCAAAAUCUAUAAAACAGAGAUUCAAAGAACGGAGUAAGCAUUUAAUGCUUAGUAAGUUUUAAGCAAGACAAAGUAUUCUCAAUCACUAUUAUUGGUCAUUCAUUUCAACUGUUCGAUGAAGUUAAUCUAGAGCUUCAUCUCGAUCUAUAAUAUCAUUAAACGCAACACUUGGCUGCCACAUAUAUACUUUCAAAUAAUAAUGACCUAGAUGGUCAAAUAUUUCCAAAGCACAUUCUUCAUCGAUUUUCAACUUUCAAUAAUCCUUUCCACUUGUUCAUAAUCAUAUCCAUACUUUUAAGUAUUUCAACAUGACAAGUACUAAAUUACCAUAGGCACAUAAAGAACCAACAUAUUCCUUAUCACAUAUAUGUAAGCUUACAAAUCAUAAUCCUUACCUUGUACUGGCACAUCUAGCUCAACCCAACCCAUACUCAGAUCAUAAGGCUUUUGGGCAGAAUAUGCACUAAUACAUAAGAAUAUUUCAUCGCAUACUUUAUUAUACAAACAUACCAUUACCAAUUAGAUCAUUCUCACAUUUGGAGUUAUAAUAUUAAUCACAUUUACCUACCUCUUUGAUACUGAUAAUUCACCUCGAAAUCACUCCACCGAUGAGUAAGUAAUACGUACCUGAACAUCUUGAAUACAUAAUACUUAUUUGAUGGUAACUUAAUGCAGAUACUCAAUAUCAAAGUCUUACUUGAAUCCUAAAAUUUAGCCGUCGGGUCUUUAAAGCUCGGAUAUAGUACGAGCACGAAGCCUACGGACAUUAAUCAGGAUAAUAUUCUCGCAUAAAGCCUGCGGGGUUUUAACCCGGAUAUAGUACUGACACAAUUGCCCUUCGGGACUUAUCACAUUUAUACACUUCCACAUCCAUCACAUUGGCCAUUCAGCCUUAUCACAUAUAUACACUUUCACAUUCAUCACAUUGGCCAUUCGGCCUUAUCUCAUAUAUGCAUGUUCACAUUCAUCACAUUGGCCAUUCGGCCUUAUCACACAUACACAUGUUCACAUUCAUCACAUUGGCCAUUCGGCCUUAUCACACAUACACAUGUUCACAUUCAUCACAUUGGCCAUUCGGCCUUAUCACACAUACACAUGUUCACAUUCAUCACAUUGGCCAUUCGGCCUUAUCACGCAUAUAUAUACUUUCACAUUCAUCACAUUGGCCACUCGGCCCUAUCACAUAUAUAUACUUGUACAUCAAUUUCAUCAUAACAAAAUUGACUAGGUAUACUAGUCAUUUGUGGCUUAUAGCUUCACUUUAAUACGAAUUUGGUACUUUGAUUACCAAUGUUUAAUCGAUAGCUUAUAAGCAACUCAAAUGGUUUUAUUAAGGUUUACAACAAAAUUCCAAAUUCAGCACAAGCUGUUUUUUUCUGAGCAACAGUCAUUAAAUUAUUCGUAAAUGGAGCUACGAAACUCCAAAUGGAGUGCCGUUAAUUUUCCCUGGAAAUAGACUCAUACAUAUCUUAUCCAGAAAAUUUUCAGAAUUUUUGGUUUGGCCAAUCAAUACCAGAUUUUUCUUAAAGUUUCCCCUGUUUCACUGUUUGACUAAUCUGACCACUCUUCACUACGAAUCAAAUUUCUCAUUGUACGGAAUUAAAAAUAUGUUCUAUUUGAUUUUAUUUGAAACUAGACUCAUUAAGGAGUCUAGGAAUAUAAAUUUUAUCUUAUAACCAUUUUUGUACAAAUUAUAAUGAUUUUUCUAAAAACAGAACAGGGGAUUUCGGAGUCAUUCUGACACUGUCCCACACAAAUUUAAAUAUCUCUUUAUAGGAAAUUUCUUUGCUUCCACAGUCUCUUUUAUAAGAAACUAGACUAAAUAAACUUUGAUUACAUAUUUUAUUCAGCCUAUAAUUUCACACCAACAAUUUAUAGUGAUUUUCUAAAAUCACGUUACUGCUGCUGUCCAAAGCAAAUUAUUACAAUUUGCUCUUAAAUUUCCAAGUCCAAACACUUAUGAACUUACCAUUUGAGUUUAAGACAUAUCAUGGCCACAUCAUAUCUUAUUAAAUCAACUCAUUAUGUCCUAUUAUGACUGAAUUUACUCAACGUUUAAUCACUUAAAACUUACCUCAGAGGUGGUCGAACGAUUUCGGCGGCUAUUCGAUCACUUUUUUCCUUCCCUUUAUCGGAUUUAGUUCCCCUUUGCUCUUGAGCUUAAUUUAACAAAUAAAUUGAUUUAAUCAUUUGAACAUCGAAAAGAGAAAAUCAAGGUACUUAACCCAUAUAUAUACAUUAGACAUUAAAGUCACAUACAUAUGAAAUCAUGAAUCAACUCAACAUAUUAACCCACACUCUCUUUUAGCCGAUUGUCUAAGCCAAGAUUAAGCCACCAAUAUGCUUACUUAUGGCCGAACAUACACAUCAACUUAUGUACUCAUUCAUGUUGCCGAACAUACAUGUCUAUGUUGAGGCCGAUUGCAACACUUAAUACAUUCUACAAGUAUGGUCACUUGUAUUGACUAAACACCAUUUUGUUUCAAGUUCAAAACUUGGCCAAUACACAUAUAUACACUAGUAAAGCAUCCUCUCCCUUUCCAUCAAUUCAACACAUGCAUUACUCAUUAAUAUACAAAAUUAUAUUCGGCCUUAGCACACAACUUGCUAGCCGAUUCUUCUCCAUCUAGCAACUAAUGCACAUAUGUGCUCAUUUGUUAGACUCUACUUCAUCUAACAACAACCAUAUUUUCCCUUCUACUUCCUACCAUGGCCGGAUGCUCAAGAUACCUCAAUAUCGAAACUUUUAGCUUGGAUUGCUUAAAGAACUUGGUGAUGAGUUCAAAUUUACCUAACACCUCAAGCCUCAUAACACAUCUAUAUAGCUAACAUGCUAAUAGUCUCAAGGCUUCAACUAAAACUUUUGAAGCCUCUUAGUCGAAUACUAACUCUCUAAUAAUCCCAAAUCAUCCAUGAGAUAGUUAGAAUUUAGACUAAUCAUCCAAGGGAUGUAUGAACUUUCAAAGCAACACUAAACAUACCUUAAUCUAGUGAGCCUUCAUAGCCGAUUUUUCUCCAAGCUCAUUCCCUUCCUUUCUUUCUUCUAUUCGGCCAAAGAUGUUCAAGGAUGAACACUUUUUUUUCUUUGUUUCCUUUCUUCCAUUCACGGCAAAGGGGGGGCAUGGAUGAGACCAUUUUUUUUUCAUCACUCCACCUUUUUGCAUUACUUUAAUCCUAACCCCUUUUUUUUAUUCUUUCUAACAUAACUCACUAACACAACAUGUUUGCAACAUGUUUCCACCCAUAGCAUGGCCGGCCACUAUGCUUUAAUUUUGGGUAAUUUGACAUGCAAACCCAUCAUUUCACAACAUGCAUUAUUAGGCCACUUUACAUUUGCCUAGCACAUUUCCAAAUUUUCUCACAUAAGUCCUAUUUGAUAAAAUUCACUUACUAUUAACAAAAUUCAAACAUGAAAUUUUCACACAUGCAUAUGUACAUAUAAUGAGCAUCAACUAUGACGGUUAAUUAUCUUUAUGACUCGAUUUAGUGGUCCCGAAACCACUUUCCAACUAGGGUCACUGUAGGGGUGUCACAAUUCAUGCAUGAAUGUAUCUAAAAGAUCCAAUCCCUUUGGACGACACACAUUCAUGCAUGGAAGGAAAUUAAUGCAAGUUCAUGUAGGGCUUGGUGCAAUGUAUGAAGAGGUGCAUAUAGAAUUGAGGUUCAAUGGAUAGCAUUUAAGGGAGUACAUGUAUUGGAGAUGUUCAUGCAAGUAGGGGCUAUUUAAUGUUCAUGAUUUUGAAGGUUCAUGGACCGAAUUUAUGGAGGAACAUACAUUGGGACGUUUCAUGCAUGAUCCAUGCAUUUUCAAGCUAACCAUUCAAGUAUUCAAGGUGCAUUAAAGCUUCAUUCGGCCAAGGGGGAUGAUGGAACAUUAAAGGGAUGCACAUUCAUGGAUAUUCAUGAUUUUUAUUCUAGAAUUAUCUAGGUGUUUAUAGCCGAAUUUCUUAGCUUCUAAGCUUGUCCAUUCGGCUACUUUUAUUUAGGCUAUAAAUAUAUGUUAUUUCAUUUGUAAGAGGUUAGACUUUUCACUUAAUGAAACUUUGUUAAAAUUUCAUGGAAUUUGUGAGAUUUCUUUUUCUCAUAUUUUGUUGAGGACUUCAUUGGCUUAUCUAGGAAGCCUAGUGGCAUCAACCCUGUUCUUCACUAUCCCAAACUUAUCACUAUCAAAUAGUGUGGCGUUCACCCAUUUACCGAGGUUCCUACUUUGUUAAGUAGUGGGUCGAGGUUCUAUCAUUUUCAUUUUCACCUUGAAAGCGUAUAAGUACUUGGGUCAAUAUUUCCUAAUAUAGGUUCUUACUUGCUUUUAAGUUCACCAUCUUCCAUAACCAUCAUUUAUUAAACUACCUUCAAUCUAUUUUCAUUCUUUUGUUUCUUUUAAAACCGAACCUUUAAUAUU
rnacentral:lncRNA from 1 species